rnacentral:lncRNA from 1 species
UUUUUUUUUUGUGAAAUUUGAGAAGAGAAGGGUCAAAACUCUACGUCAGGAUGCCUUACCAGAGCGAUGAGGAGGCUGGGAAGUAAAAAGAAUUCCUAAGCUCUCCGAUAUAUAAUUCCUAAGGACUCAAAACAUUUUUCUAGACACAACUCGGCUGCUAAAAAUGAUCAAGCAAUGGGGCUCCUAAGGUCGGGGAAGGCUCUGAUUACCAACUUGUAACGCCCUCGAUGCGGCUAUAGCUCCCACGUGUCGAGGCACGACUUAGAGACAUAACCGCAUUGAAAGCAAUGUCGCAAGUCAGGCAAUCAUUACAACAUCCCAUGUAAUAUAUAAUAAAAGAGGGAGAUAACAUAGUUGGCUUACACUCGCCACGUCACAUCAGAGUACAUAAAUAACAUCCAUCAAACAAACACUCAUGGCCCGACUACGGCGCCAAAAUAGAAAAGAACCCAACGUGCGACAAGGCCCUGAAUCGAUAACCCCAACUAGGCACCACUACUGAUCAUCCGGAAAAGACACGUAGUAUCGCUGAGAGUCCUCGUCGAACUCCCACUUGAGCUCGUAAUCGUCAACUGGAGCAGAAACACCUGGACCUGCAUCUGGAGUUGUAGUAUCUGUGAGCCACAGGGACUCAGCAAUCUCGCACCCUCGCGAUCAAAACUAUUUAAGCUCAUAGGAAUGGAUAAGGCAAAUAUAUGUGGAGCUGCAGCAAGCGACUAGCAUAUGUGGUGGCUAACUUAUACGCAAAAGAGAGCGAGAAGAGAAGGCGAAGCAUGAGCGAGAAACUAAGGAACAUCCUGCGCAAGCAUAACUCCAACUCCGUGUCCACUUCCCGAACUCCGCCGAGAAGGGGCCAUCACGGUAACACACACGGUUGAUUCAUUUUAAUUGAGUUUAGUUAAAGUUAUCUACAACCGAACAUUAACAAAUUCCCAUCUGCCCAUAACCGCGGGCACGGCUUUCGAAAGAUCAAUCCCUGCAGGGGAGUCCCAACUUAGCCCAUGACAAGCUCUCACGGUCAACGAAGGAAUAUACCUCCUCCCAAGACGUUCCGAUCAGACUCGGUAUCUCGGUAACUCAAGACACUUCGACAGGUUAAAACAAGACCAGCAACACCGCCCGAAUGUGCCGACAAAUCCUGAUAGGAGCUGCACAUAUCUCUUUCUCAGGGCACACUCAGAUUGUCCUAGGUACGGGUAGGCCAGCCCAGAGUUGCCCCUGGUAGCCACCGGUAGCUGACAGGUGGACCAACACUCAGAGGAGCACUGGCCCGGGGGGGUAAAAUAAGAUGACCUUUGAGUCUGCAGAACCCAAGGGAAAGAAAAGGCUAGGUGGCAAAUGGUAAAAUCAAGGUUGGGCAUUGCUGGACAAGCUUUAAUCAAGGCGAAAUAUCAAGGGGUUCCCAUUAUAACCCAACCGCGUAAGGGACACAACAAUCCGGGAACAUAACACCGAUAUGACGGAAACUAGGGCGGCAAGAGUGGAACAAAACACUAGGCGAGAGGCCAAGCCUUCCACCCUUUACCAAGUAUAUAGAUGCAUUAAGAUAACAUAGCAAUAUAAUGAUAUCCCAACAAGUAAAUAAAUGUUCCAACAAGGAACGGCUCCAAUCUUCACCUGCAACUAACAACGCUAUAAGAAGGGCUGAGCAAAGCGGUAACAUAGCCAAUCAACGGUUUGCUAGGACAAUGGUGGGUUAGAGGUUCAACAUGGCAAUUGGGAGGCUGACAAGCAAAAGGUAGGCAUCGUAGCAGUGGCAAAGCAAAAGAGCGAGCAAACUAGCAUAGCAAAGAUAGUAGUGAUUUCGAGGGUAUGAUCAUCUUGCCUGCACAGUUGUCAGAGUUGGCUGGAUCCUCACAAGCAAACUCAACGGGCUCCUUGGUAGUGAACUCGUCUCCCGGCUCUACCCAACAAGACAAACAAGCAACAAGGAUACAAUCAACCACGGGCAAGACCAAGCAAUAUGAUGAAAUGACGAUAUGCUAUGCGGGAUGCGAUGCGGGAUGCAAAAUGCCAGAUAUGACAGGAAAUGCAUGAACCUGGCAUCAACUUGGAAAACCAAGUGUGCCACUGGAUAGAGGGGAUGAAAUCGCUUGAAAACGAUAUAAAGAUCAUUGGAAUCGGAGCUACGGUUUGGAAAUGGCAAGCGUUUUAAGAUAUGACACCGGUCUGCGAUUUACAGCAAGUAGGCAUCUAAAUGCAACGAAAUGAACAUGCUACAACCACCAAACAUGAAAACAAAAUACAUGGCAGUGAUGUACACAAGAUGGUUAACAAAACACUAGCACUGAGACAUAGGCAAAUUCGUCCAUUAAGAGGUUCAAACAAGCAUGGAAAAAAUGAAUAUGCAAAACAGAUUUCAGACUUUGUGAAAUUAACACUAGCCUGAAAUUUCAGAUCACGAAGCCCUCUUCGGAGCAGCAAAACAACAUGAUACAAAACCUGAACAUGACAAGUAAUAACAUGGCAUGGAGAUACUCAACAAGCUUAACAAAACACCCAAAGUGACCUGGGGCCAAAAGGGUUCACAAAAUACUCUACCGAGCUCACGAACAUAGCUCGAACACAAUCAGUUUUCAGACUUAAUGAAAACUGAGGCAUGCAGAAAUUUAACUCACGAAGGCAUGUAAACGAGCUCGAUGCACUCACUACGUUGCAAGUCAUGGCAAGGAAAGCAUAUGACCAGCAAGAAGGCACAAUGUGCUAGCUACACAUGGCAAGAACAAAGGCAUAGCAUGCAUGGAACACUAACGGUAGCAUCGGCAAAAUCGCAAACAAGUUGAUGAACUGCCCAGAUUAACAACGAAGCAAAAGUUGAGCUCGAUUGAGUCAACCUAGAGCACUCCACAUAUGUAAACAAAGACAUGGAUGGAUAGAGCAUAACAUAAAUAUCAAAACUCCCUUACUGAUCAUCCUCAAAAGAGGCACAUAUCACUAGGAAACAAGCUGGACAUAUAGCAUCAUGAACUAAAAUAUCCCAGACUUAGUGAAAAUCACUAAGUCUCUGAAAUCAGCAAUCUCAGGUACCUCUCUUCGCAAGCUUGCACAAGACAACACACACAUCCUAAAAAUGCAUGGGUGGCACCUCUGGAAAGAAGGCAAAAUGCUUAACAAUUCAUCCCAAAGGGUCACAGGCAUAUCAUGCACGAAUUAAACAUGGCAAAAAUGACAAAAGUGCAAGAUGAACUAACGGAUCUGCAAUUUAACUCAUGAAGCCUCCUUCUAACAGCAUUUUGGGCAUCAAGAUGACCUCAAAUGCAAAUGAUGCAAUGGAAUGAAAUGACGCACUCGUCGAGGCGAACAUUUUGAUAUAUUAUAUGCCCAAAACGGAGCAUACGGAUGCGGAGAUAUCAUCAGUCAAAGUUUGCUUAAAAAUUAAGGGGGAGAGGAAAAAGUCAACCCUCAGUUUUUAGAUCUCAGAUCUAGGGUUCGGGCACUGUUCACGGCGGCACUGUAGCAGCUCGGCGCCGGAGUUCGCGCUCGCCGGAGAAGCACGCCAGAGGAGAGGAGGAGCUCGCCGGAGGUGGGGACGUCGCCGGAUCCGGGGCCGGUCGGAGGAGGCGCCGGCGUUGGUGGUGCUUGCGGGCGCGGAAGCCGAGGAGAACGGCAGCCGACUCGGCGGAGUGGAGUGGAGGCGCGGCGGCGCUCGCGGUGGCGGGUGGCGUCUCCGGCCACCGGAGCCUGAAGAGACGGCGGCGAGGUGGAACGCGCGGGGCGCGGGGCACUCGGGCUCGCGGGGGCCCCUCCUGGGCCUCCCGGGCCGGCGGCGGGGAAGAGGAGCGGCGCCACGUGGCAGCACCUGAGUGGCGGAGGCGGGCGGCGGCGGACGAUGUUUUUUUUUUGAACUAGGGUUUCGGGGGAGAAGACGAAUCCGAAAAAUGGAGGGGCUAUUUAUAGGCAUAAGUAGAGCUAGGAGAGUCCAAAUGAGGUGCGGUUUUCGGCCACGCUAUCGUGAUCGAACGCUCUAGGACAUGGAGCAGAGUUUGGUGGGUUUUGGGCCAAAUUUGGGGGGUGUUAGGCUGCAACACACACGAGGCCUUUUCGGUCCCUCGGUUAACCGUUGGAGUAUCAAACGAAGUCCAAAUGAUACGAAACUUGACAGGCGGUCUACCGGUAGUAAACCAAGGCCGCAUGACAAGUCUCAGUCCAGUCCGGAAAUGUUUGAACCCACACAUGAAAGAAAGCUGGAAAUGGCCACCGGAGGAGAACGAAGCGCCGGAAUGCAAAACGGACAACGGAGAAAAUGCUCAAAUGCAUGAGAUGAACAUGUAUGCAAAUGCGAUGCACGAGAUGACAUGAUAAGAGAUGCACGAAAAAGAAAACAACACACGGAGACAAAGACCCGAACCCGAGAAAUAAAUAUAACUUAGCGCCGGAGACGGCAAGAGUUGGAUACAAAUAUGGAAAUUAUAUCUGGGGCGUUACAACAACGUAUGUUGUUAUGCAGUCUGACCGAUAAAGAUCUUCGUAGAAUAUGUAGGAGCCAAUAUGGGCAUCCAGGUCCCGCUAUUGGUUAUUGACCAGAGAGGUGUCUCGGUCAUGUCUACAUAGUUCUCGAACCCGUAGGGUCCGCACGCUUAACGUUCGUUGACGAUAUAGUACUAUGUGAGUUAUGUAUGUUGGUGACCGAAUGUUGUUAGGAGUCCGGGAUGAGAUCACGGACAUGACGAGGAACUCCGGAAUGGUCCGGAGAUAAAGUUUGAUAUAUGUGAUAAUAGUGUUUUGUCACCGGAAGGGUUCCGGAAAUCACCGGAAGGGGUUCCGGAUGUUUCUCGAAAUGUUUGGGUACGAGAACACGUUAUUUGGGCCAAAGCAGAAAGCCCACAAGGUUUUUGGAAAGCGCAAAAGGAAGUUUUGCGGAGUCCAGGGGCCAGACGCCAGGGUCCCUGGCGUGUGGGUCCAGACGCCGGGAACCCUGGCGUCUGGCCCUGGAGUCCGAGAAGGACUCUUGCCUUUCGGGUGAAACCGACUUUGUGGAGGCUUUUACUCCAAGUUUCGACCCCAGGGCUCAACAUAUAAAUAGAGGGGCAGGGCUAGCACAAAGGACACAUCAAGAAACAGCAAGCCGUGUGCCGGCAACCCCGUCUCCUCUAGUUUAUCCUCUGUCAUAGUUUUCGUAGUGCUUAGGCGAAGCCCUGCGGAAAUUGUUCUUCACCAACACCGUCACCACGCCGUUGUGCUACCGGAACUCAUCUACUACUUCGCCCCUCUUGCUGGAUUGAGAAGGCGAGGACGUCACCGAGCCGAACGUGUGCAGAACUCGGAGGUGCCGUGCUUUCGGUACUUGGAUCGGUCGGACGUGAAGACGUACGACUACAUCAACCGCGUUGAUUUAACGCUUCCGCGUGCGAUCUACAAGGGUACGUAGAUCAUACUCUCCCUUCUCGUUGCUAUGCAUCACCAUGAUCUUGCGUGUGCGUAGGAAAUUUUUUGAAAUUACUACGUUCCCCAACAGUGGCAUCCGAGCCUAGGUUAUUUAUGUUGAUGUUAUAUGCACGAGUAGAACACAAGUGAGUUGUGGGCGAUAUAAGUCAUACAGCCUACCAGCAUGUCAUACUUUGGUUCGGCGGCAUUGUUGGAUGAGACGACCCGGACCAACAUUACGCGUACGCUUACGCGAGACCGGUUCCCCCGACGUGCUUUGCACAUAGGUGGCUUGCGGGCGACUGUCUCUCCAACUUUAGUUGAACCAGGUAUGGCUACGCCCGGUCCUUGCGAAGGUUAAAACGGAGUCUAUUUGACAAACUAUCGUUGUGGUUUUGAUGCGUAGGUGAGAUUGGUUCUUGCUUAAGCCCGUAGCAGCCACGUAAAACUUGCAACAACAAAGUAGAGGACGUCUAACUUGUUUUUGCAGGACAUGUUGUGAUGUGAUAUGGUCAAGACAUGAUGCUGAAUUUUAUUGUAUGAGAUGAUCAUGUUUUGUAACCGAGUUAUCGGCAACUGGCAGGAGCCAUAUGGUUGUCGCUUUAUUGUAUGCAAUGCAAUAGCGAUGUAAUGCUUUACUUUAUUACUAAGCGGUAGUGAUAGUCGUAGAAGCAUAAGCUUGGCGAGACGACAACGAUGCUACGAUGGAGAUCAAGGUGUCACGCCGGUGACGAUGGUGAUCACGACGAUGCUUCGGAGAUGGAGAUCACAAGCACAAGAUGAUGAUGGCCAUAUCAUAUCACUUAUAUUGAUUGCAUGUGAUGUUUAUCCUUUUAUGCAUCUUAUCUUGCUUUGAUUGACGGUAGCAUUAUAAGAUGAUCUCUCACUAAAUUAUCAAGAAGUGUUCUCCCUAAGUAUGCACCGUUGCGAAAGUUCUUCGUGCUGAGACACCACGUGAUGAUCGGGUGUGAUAGGUUCUACGUUCAAAUACAACGGGUGCAAGCCAGUUUUGCACACGUGGAAUACUCAGGUUAUACUUGACGAGCCAAGCAUAUACAGAUAUGGCCUCGGAACACGGAGACCGAAAGGUCGAGCGUGAAUCAUAUAGUAGAUAUGAUCAACAUAGUGAUGUUCACCAUUGAAAACUACUCCAUUUCACGUGAUGAUCGGUUAUGGUUUAGUUGAUUUGGAUCACGUAAUCACUUAGAGGAUUAGAGGGAUGUCUAUCUAAGUGGGAGUUCUUUAACUAAAUUGAUUAACUGAACUUAAAUUUAUCAUGAAACUUAGUACCUGAUUAGUAUCUUGCUUGUUUAUGUUUGAUUGUAGAUAGAUGGCUCGUGCUGUUGUUUCGUUGAAUUUUAAUGCGUUCCUUGAGAAAGCAAAGUUGAAAGAUGAUGGUAGCAAUUACACGGACUGGGUCCGUAACUUGAGGAUUAUCCUCAUUGCUACACAGAAGAAUUACGUCCUGGAAGCACCGCUGGGUGCCAGGCCUACUGCAGGAGCAACGCCGGAUGUUAUGAACGUCUGGCAGAGCAAAGCUAAUGACCACUCGAUAGUUCAGUGUGCCAUGCUUUACGGCUUAGAAUCGGGACUUCAACGACGUUUUGAACGUCAUGGAGCAUAUGAGAUGUUCCAGGAGUUGAAGUUAAUAUUUCAAGCAAAUGCCCGGAUUGAGAGAUAUGAAGUCUCCAACAAGUUCUAUAGCUGCAAGGUGGAGGAGAACAGUUCUGUCAGUGAGCAUAUACUCAAAAUGUCUGGGUAUAAUAAUCACUUGAUUCAAUUGGGAGUUAAUCUCCCAGAUGAUUGCGUCAUUGACAGAAUUCUUCAAUCACUGCCACCAAGCUACAAGAGCUUCGUGAUGAACUAUAAUAUGCAAGGGAUGAACAAGACUAUUCCCGAGCUCUUCGUGAUGCUGAAAGCUGCGGAGGUAGAAAUCAAGAAGGAGCAUCAAGUGUUGAUGGUCAACAAGACCACUAGUUUCAAGAAAAAGGGCAAAGGGAAGAAGAAGGGGAACUUCAAAAAGAACGGCAAGCAAGUUGCUACUCAAGAGAAGAAACCCAAACCUGGACCUAAGCCUGAAACUGAGUGCUUCUAUUGCAAGCAGACUGGUCACUGGAAGCGGAACUGCCCCAAGUAUUUGGCGGAUAAGAAGGAUGGCAAGGUGAACAAAGGUAUAUGUGAUAUACAUGUUAUUGAUGUGUACCUUACUAAUGCUCGCAGUAGCACUUGGGUAUUUGAUACUGGUUUUGUUGCUAAUAUUUGCAACUCAAAACAGGGACUACGGAUCAAGCGAAGAUUGGUUAAGGACGAGGUGACGAUGCGCGUGGGAAACGGUUCCAAAGUCGAUGUGAUCGCAGUCGGCACGCUACCUCUACAUCUACCUUCGGGAUUAGUAUUAGACCUAAAUAAUUGUUAUUUGGUGCCAGCGUUAAGCAUGAACAUUAUAUCUGGAUCUUGUUUGAUGCGAGACGGUUAUUCAUUUAAAUCAGAGAAUAAUGGUUGUUCUAUUUAUAUGAGUAAUAUCUUUUAUGGUCAUGCACCCUUGAAGAGUGGUCUAUUCUUGUUGAAUCUCGAUAGUAGUAACACACAUAUUCAUAAUGUUGAAGCCAAAAGAUGCAGAGUUGAUAAUGAGAGUGCAACUUAUUUGUGGCACUGCCGUUUAGGUCAUAUCGGUGUAAAGCGCAUGAAGAAACUCCAUUCUGAUGGACUUUUGGAACCACUUGAUUAUGAAUCACUUGGUACUUGCGAACCGUGCUUCAUGGGCAAGAUGGCAAAAACGCCGUUCUCCGGUACUAUGAAGAGAGCAACAGAUUUGUUGGAAAUCAUACAUACAGAUGUAUGUGGUCCGAUGAAUAUUGAGGCUCGUGGUGGAUAUCGUUAUUUUCUCACCUUCACAGAUGAUUUAAGCAGAUAUGGGUAUAUCUACUUAAUGAAACAUAAGUCUGAAACAUUUGAAAAGUUCAAGGAAUUUCAGAGUGAAGUUGAAAAUCAUCGUAACAAGAAAAUAAAGUUUCUACGAUCUGAUCGUGGAGGAGAAUAUUUGAGUUACGAGUUUGGUGUACAUUUGAAAAAUUGUGGAAUAGUUUCGCAACUCACGCCACCCGGAACACCAUAGCCUAAUGGUGUGUCUGAACGUCGUAAUCGUACUUUACUAGAUAUGGUGCGAUCUAUGAUGUCUCUUACUGAUUUACCGCUAUCGUUUUGGGGAUACGCUCUAGAGACGGCCGCAUUCACGUUAAAUAGGGCACCAUCAAAAUCCGUUGAGACGACGCCUUAUGAACUGUGGUUUGGCAAGAAACCAAAGUUGUUGUUUCUAAAAGUUUGGGGCUGCGAUGCUUAUGUGAAAAAGCUUCAACCUGAUAAGUUCGAACCCAAAUCGGAGAAAUGUGUCUUCAUAGGAUAUCCAAAGGAAACUAUUGGAUACACCUUCUAUCACAGAUCCGAAGGCAAGACUUUUGUUGCUAAAUUCGGAAACUUUCUAGAGAAGGAGUUUCUCUCGAAAGAAGUGAGUGGGAGGAAAGUAGAACUUGACGAGGUAACUGUACCUGCUCCCUUACUGGAAAGUAGUACAUCACAGAAAACUGUUCCAGUGACACCUACACCAGUUAGUGAGAAAGCUAAUGAUAAUGAUCAAUGAUCAUGAAACUUCAGACCAAGAUACUACUGAACCUCGUAGAUCAACCAGAGUAAGAUCCGCGCCAGAGUGGUACGGUAAUCCUGUUUUGAAAGUCAUGCUACUAGAUCAUGAUGAACCUACGAACUAUGAAGAAGCAAUGGUGCGCCCAGAUUCCGCAAAAUGGCUUGAAGCCAUGAAAUCUGAGAUGGGAUCCAUGUAUGAGAAUAAAGUAUGGACUUUGGUUGACUUGCCCGAUGAUCGGCAAGCAAUUGAGAAUAAAUGGAUCUUCAAGAAGAAGACUGACGCUGACGGUAACGUUACUGUCUACAAAGCUCGACUUGUCGCAAAAGGUUUUCGACAAGUUCAAGGGUUGACUACGAUGAGACCUUCUUACCCAUAGCGAUGCUUAAGUCUGUCCGAAUCAUGUUAGCAAUUGCCGCAUUUUAUGAUUAUGAAAUUUGGCAAAUGGAUGUCAAAACUGCAUUCCUGAAUGGAUUUCUGGAAGAAGAGUUGUAUAUGAUGCAACCAGAAGGUUUUGUCGAUCCAAAGGGAGCUAACAAAGUGUGCAAGCUCCAGCGAUCCACUUAUGGACUGGUGCAAGCCUCUCGGAGUUGGAAUAAACGCUUUGAUAGUGUGAUCAAAGCAUUUGGUUUUAUACAGACUUUCGGAGAAGCCUGUAUUUGCAAGAAAAUGAGUGGGAGCUCUGUAGCAUUUCUGAUAUUAUAUGUGGAUGACAUAUUACUAAUUGGAAAUGACAUAGAAUUUCUGGAUAGCAUAAAGGGAUACUUGAAUAAGAGUUUUUCAAUGAAAGACCUCGGUGAAGAUGCUUACAUAUUAGGCAUAAAGAUCUAUAGAGAUAGAUCGAGAUGCUUAAUUGGACUUUCACAAAGCACAUACCUUGACAAGAUUUUGAAGAAGUUCAAAAUGGAUCAAGCAAAGAAAGGAUUCUUGCCUGUGUUACAAGGUGUGAAGUUGAGUAAGACUCAAUGCCCGACCACUGCAGAAGAUAGAGAGAAUAUGAAAGAUGUUCCUUAUGCAUCAGCCAUAGAAUCUAUCAUGUAUGCAAUGUUGUGUACCAGACCCGAUGUGUGCCUUGCUAUAAGUCUAGCAGGGAGGUAUCAAAGUAAUCCAGGAGUGGAUCACUGGACAGCGGUCAAGAACAUCCUGAAAUACCUGAAAAGGACUAAGGAUAUGUUUCUCGUAUAUGAAGGUGACAAAGAGCUCAUCGUAAAUGGUUACAUUGAUGCAAGCUUUGACACUGAUUCGGACGAUUCUAAAUCGCAAACCGGAUACUUGUUUACAUUAAAUGGUGGAGCUGUCAGUUGGUGCAGUUCUAAACAAAGCGUCGUAGCGGGAUCUACAUGUGAAGCGGAGUACAUAGCUGCUUCGGAAGCAGCAAAUGAAGGAGUCUGGAUGAAGGAGUUCAUAUCCGAUCUAGGUGUCAUACCUAGUGCAUCGGGUCCAAUGAAAAUCUUUUGUGACAAUACUGGUGCAAUUGCCUUGGCAAAGGAAUCCAGAUUUCACAAGAGAACCAAGCACAUCAAGAGACGCUUCAAUUCCAUCCGGGAUCUAGUCCAGGUGGGAGACAUAGAGAUUUGCAAGAUACAUACGGAUCUGAAUGUUGCAGACCCGUUGACUAAGCCUCUUCCAUGAGCAAAACAUGAUCAGCACCAAGGCUCCAUGGGUGUUAGAAUCAUUACGGUGUAAUCUAGAUUAUUGACUCUAGUGCAAGUGCGAGACUGAAGGAAAUAUGCCCUAGAGGCAAUAAUAAAGUUAUUAUUUAUUUCCUUAUAAUCAUGAUAAAUGUUUAUUAUUCAUGCUAGAAUUGUAUUAACCGGAAACAUAAUACAUGUGUGAAUACAUAGACAAACAAAGUGUCACUAGUAUGCCUCUACUUGACUAGCUCAUUAAUCAAAGAUGGUUAUGUUUCCUAACCAUGAACAAAGAGUUGUUAUUUGAUUAACGAGGUCACAUCAUUAGUUGAAUGAUCUGAUUGACAUGAUCCAUUCCAUUAGCUUAGCACCCGAUCGUUUAGUAUGUUGCUAUUGCUUUCUUCAUGACUUAUACAUGUUCCUAUAACUAUGAGAUUAUGCAACUCCCGUUUACCGGAGGAACACUUUGGGUACUACCAAACGUCACAACGUAACUGGGUGAUUAUAAAGGAGUACUACAGGUGUCUCCAAAGGUACAUGUUGGGUUGGCGUAUUUCGAGAUUAGGUUUUGUCACUCCGAUUGUCGGAGAGGUAUCUCUGGGCCCUCUCGGUAAUGCACAUCACAUAAGCCUUGAAAGCAUUACAACUAAGAUGUUAGUUGUGAGAUGAUGUAUUACGGAACGAGUAAAGAGACUUGCCGGUAACGAGAUUGAACUAGGUAUUGAAUACCGACGAUCGAAUCUCGGGCAAGUAACAUACCGAUGACAAAGGGAACAACGUAUGUUGUUAUGCGGUCUGACCGAUAAAGAUCUUCGUAGAAUAUGUAGGAGCCAAUAUGGGCAUCCAGGUCCCGCUAUUGGUUAUUGACCAGAGAGGUGUCUCGGUCAUGUCUACAUAGUUCUUGAACCCGUAGGGUCCGCACGCUUAACGUUCGUUGAAGAUAUAGUACUAUGUGAGUUAUGUAUGUUGGUGACCGAAUGUUGUUCGGAGUCCGGGAUGAGAUCAUGGACAUGACGAGGAACUCCGGAAUGGUCCGGAGAUAAAGUUUGAUACUCCCUCCUUCCAUCUAUAUAAGGCCUAAUGCGUUUUUCGAGACUAACUUUGACCAAAUAUUAGAGCAAUAAUAUAUGACAUGCAACUUACACAAAGCACAUCGUCAAAUUUGUAUGUGAAAGGAGCUUUCAAUGAUGUAAUUUUCACAUUAUGCAUGUCAUGUAUUAUUAAUCUUGUCAAUAGUCAAAGGCGGUCUUAAAAAAUGCAUUAGGCCCUAUAUAGAUGGAAGGAGGGAGUAUAUGUGAUAAUAGUGUUUGGUCACCGGAAGGGUUCCGGAAAUCACCGGAAGGGGUUCCGGAUGUUUCCCGAAAUGUUUAGGUACGAGAACACGUUAUUUGGGCCAAAGAGGAAAGCCCACAAGGUUUUUGGAAAGCGCAAAAGGAAGUUUUGCAGAGUCCAGGGGCCAGACGCCAGGGUCCCUGGCGUCUGGGUCCAGACGCCGGGAACCCUGGCGUCUGGCCCUGGAGUCCGAGAAGGACUCUUGCCUUUCGGGUGAAACCGACUUUGUGGAGGCUUUUACUCCAAGUUUCGACCCCAGGGAUCAACAUAUAAAUAGAGGGGCAGGGCUAGCACAAAGGACACAUCAAGAAACACCAAGCCGUGUGCCGGCAACCCCAUCUCCUCUAGUUUAUCCUCUGUCAUAGUUUUCGUAGUGCUUAGGCGAAGCCCUGCGGAAAUUGUUCUUCACCAACACCGUCACCACGCCGUUGUGCUGCCGGAACUCAUCUACUACUUCGCCCCUCUUGCUGGAUCGAGAAGGCGAGGACGUCACCGAGCCGAACGUGUGCAGAACUCGAAGGUGAUGUGCUUUCGGUACUUGGAUCGGUCGGACGUGAAGACGUACGACUACAUCAACCGCGUUGAUUUAACGCUUCCGCGUGCGAUCUACAAGGGUACGUAGAUCAUACUCUCCCCUCUCGUUGCUAUGCAUCACCAUGAUCUUGCGUGUGCGUAGGAUUUUUUUUGAAAUUACAACGUUCCCCAACAGCAAACACCCUAGGACAAGGAUUAUCAUUGAAUACUCUAUUUUGGAGUGAUGGAGACAUCAAUGUCCCUAGUAGGAAAACCCUUGUAGUGGAUACUAUCAAUAAGACUGAUACUACCAUACUUGUUUUUAACUGACCUAGAAAGAGAGCUUUUCUGAUUAUUUUCUUAAGUCAUUAGUUGGUCAUAAGAAUUUCUCCCGGAACCACCUCUCUUCUAAGGGUUUUGAAGCUGGUAUUCUUAUGGGAAUUGAUGAAGACGUCGUUAAUGUUGUUUCUUGGGACGUUAGGGAUUUUUGUAUCCCAUUAUGUCUAUUUUCUACCAUAGAUCGGAUUUAUUUUUGCAACACGGAAUUAGAUAAAAACAUCCCUUCGUUUCUUGCCAGGAUUUACCAAGGACUAGUAGUGAUCACACUGCCAUUCUGUGGGAUUCAUUCUUGCACAAACCUGCUAAGUCUAGUAGUUAUAAGCUAGAAAAGUGGUGGUUGCUUAGAUUUCAAAGAUCUAGUCACUAAGAUCUGGAGGGAACCUACUAAGGGCCAGACUGCUAUUGAUAUUUUGCAGAAUAAGAUUAGGAAGCUUAGAAGAGUUACUGAAGGUUGGGGAUUUAACAUAGAAGCCGAUCUUAGGAAGCUUAAGAAAUAUUUCAUUGAGGAAUAUGAUUUAUGGAUAUCAAAUCUAAGAACUUUGAGCUCUCUACUGAUGAGCAAGCCUACUUUGAGGUGGUUUGUUGUUAAGCACACCUAUGCGAUUUCACCGUUUUUUUAUAAAAAAGUAUAAAUUUUUGACUGAUGCUUUGCUGCACUUUUUAGGGUAAAUCAUGUGGUUUAAAUAUGUUAAUGAUGUGGAGAGUUGGCAAUAAUGAAAGUAUGAUCGCUAGGCCUAAAAAUUGCUUUGGGAGGCCGAGUUCCAUGGAUGCCUUCAUUUGCAAUUUUCAAAAUUCUUUUUUUACAUUUCAAAAAAUUCUAAAAAUAUAUAGAUAUACAUGGAGGUAUAAUGUACAGUGUGUAAAUUUUCAAGACAAAUAUGUUAAAACAAGGGUUGUGAGAAAACAAAUAUUGGGCUUUUCAGCACGUGAUGCUAUUCAUCUUCAUAGUCCAUGAUUUGUUUUUUUUUUGCACAGGUCGCAUUUCAAGGUAUUUCAUCCUCAAUAUUCACACACAUAUACAUUUCAUCCUUGUAUAGUUGCAUAUAUAUUUUUAGAUUUUUUAAACCAAAAAGUUUGAAUUUUGAAAUUUUCAAAAAAAUUGGGCUCCAUGGUGGCCGGUCACGGAAACGCCCCACUCCACUAGGCCUUGUUUCCAAGCAUUGAAAGGUUGUUUUUACUCACUUUUGUUACUUGCUACUUUACUAUUUGUAUUACAAAACCUUAUUGCUAUCAUCCAUAAUGCGCAUCUAUCAUCAUCUCUUCCCCGAACUAGUGCACCUAUACAACUGACAACUUUAUUGGAUGUGUUGGGGACAUAAGAGAUCGCUUGUAUUUGAUUGGAAGGUUGUUUGAGACCACCUUCAUCCUACACCUCCCGCGGAUUGAUAAAAUCUUACGUCAUCACUUCAGAAAAAUUUGAUGUUGGCGUCUAAAACACUACGCUUUAGGGCCCAACAAAAUAUACAAGAAUAAAGUUGUAUAGUAGACAUCAAGCCGCGGACGAAGAGGGAGACGGUAGUGGCAGGUGACUAGAGGCCAACAGUAACCACGGUGUGGAUGAGGACGGAGGCGAAUCCUGUUGCAGGGCUGAUCAUGACGAGCAAGAUUCGUCUGUCGAGCACGAGAUAUGGCCAUGAAUGCCAGCCAAAAAGAACAUGGGGCGUUCACGCCAACGAUCGAGGAUCUGAAUUGAUCCUCCAUGGACGCUAUGUGCUCUCCAUCUCAAAGGUGGCGGUGCCCGGUGAGGUGGUCAGCGGCGCCAAAAAGUAGACAUAAGGGUUGGGGCAGAAGGUGGGAUUUGGGCUCCUGCUGCAGUGAGGGUGAUAGAGGGUUGGAAAGGGACGCUCAUGUCAAGCCUUGUGUUUGGACUUUAGACCUAUAAAUUUGAUUAAAGUAUGAACGCAUUAGACCCUAUAUAGAUGAAAAGAUGGAAAAGGACGCUCCUGCUGCAGUCACUGGUGGAAAAAGGGCCUUUGGUCGCGGUUCGCAACUGCCAUUAGUCGCGGUUGCGCAACCGCGACCGAACGGGCGCGACUAAAGGCCCCCCCCCUUUAGUCGCGGUUGCUUAAGAACCGCGACUAAAGGCCCGUCCACGUGGGCGCCAGGUGGCCGUCGGGGCGGAGGACCUUUAGUCGCGGUUCUUCUGGCCAACCGCGACUAAAGGCCGCCGCAGGUUUAGGGUUUUAGCCCCCCCCCUUAAACAUGUUUUCUGUUUAAUUUGUAUUGUUUUAUUUCUUUUGUGCUUUAUUUUAAUUUUGAAGGAGUUUCAUAUAUUCUACGGUACUACAUACAUGCAUAUGAAUGUACAAUUUCAAAUAAAUUUGAAAUUAGAACCAAAAAGAAUUCAAGAGGAAUAUACAAUAUAUAUUCAAUAUCAUCGGAUGACCAUAUACAAUUUUGAACAAGUUUCCAUACAUGAUUUAAUGCAUAUAAAGUUCUACGUCCUCGUAAUAAUGUUCUCCUUUAGGAUGGAGGACUUCCCUGCUGAACCAUCCAGCUAGUUCCUCUUGAAGUGGUCGGAAGCGAGCUUCUGGACUAAGCAUCCACCGGAGGUUAUUCCUCUGAGCAUUGGUAUCACUCGGAACCCGCUCAGAGGUGUAUCUCCGGAUCAUCUCACAGACAUAGUAUCCACAUAGAUUGGUCUCCGGUGGCUGAAUAUCCCCAGCAUUCUUAGCCUUUGACCUUUUGAAUUCUAGCUCUUUUUUGAAUUCACCGACCUUUGUAUCUACGAACCGUCUCCAAACCCUACGAGGCAAAGAAAAUUAAAUGAACAAGAGAGUUAUUAGUUACUUGAUAUUAGGAAAUGAACGAAAUAGGCCGAUCGAUAUAGAGCGCAAAUGAAUGAAAAUAAUUACUUCUGCAGCAUUCUUCUCAUGCCGCCCCAAAGCUUUGGAUCCAUAUUCACAGAGUCGUGGACGAGACAUUCUGAGGUGUUAACUUUAAUUACUAGCAGAAUCCAGUGGAACCUGCGGACACGAUACAUGCAUAGUACGUCAUGCAUAACUCAUCGAUUAGCCGGCCACAUACCAUGCAUGGAGUAAACAAAAGAGAAUGUGCUCAAGACAGAAACACUCACUCAAAAUGGUAAGGAAAUAGAAUAUCACUUUUGAGUUCCUGCUUUGUAAGAAACUGCCACAGGUCUGCCUCCACGUCGGCGGGGUAACGCUCCAACACAUGUCCAUUAACGAUGUGUGGGUCAAUGAACCCAACAUCAUGGAUGUUCCUUACUCUGCAUUCCUUAAUCUUCAUUCUGCAUGUAUAAUAGCGGACACAACAAUAUAGUUAGGACAUAUAUAUAGUGCAGGCAAUAUGAACGAGAUGGGGUAGAAAUUAAUAAAUCACUUACAGAACGUAGCAACUGAUGAUAGAUUUAUCGAGCUCGCGCAGAUUGAAAAGCUGGAACAAUUCACUCAGUUCAAUUUGUACAUAAUAAUGUUUGAAGUGAUGCUCAUGUCUAACUUCCGCAUAAAUAUAUUCUUUGGCGUUUUUAUUUUUUAUGUAACCCUUGUACCAUUUCAGCAGACCUUUCAUUUGUGGAGGUAGAUCCUUUUCCUGCGCAGGCUCGACGAGAGGCCCAUUCUUGACAUAUGUAAUUACUACCUCCUUCACUGGCGCCUCAUCAAGGCCUAACAGUUCACGAAGAGUAAUACCUAAGUUGGCCGCUUGUUCUCUGGCACUCGUUACAGUCAAUCCCUGUGCUGCCGCAGCUUGUAUGAUCUCGGGGGCAUCCGGACAGAAGGCUUCCACUAUAAGCGGGGCAAUCGAUUGUUUACUUUGUUCCCCGAGCUGGGCAACUUGUUUCCCGCUUUUUUUACUUUCGGCCUUCUCCCGCUCUUUGUUCUCCUUGAACAUGAGUGCCUGCCUGCGAAGUUCACGUGCAUAGUCAUUAGGCAGAUUCUUCGCGGCUUGGGACGGUGUGCUCAAAAAUGACUUAGCCCACUUCUUUUGCUCAUCAGAAAAUACUGGCUUGGGCUCGGGCUCUGUUUUCUUCUUGCAGUCCACCUUCCAUUUCUCCAAAUCAGCAGCCGCGGCCGCGUCGACUUCCUCGGCACUAUGUUCCCAAGACCUUGUGGGGAGAGGCUUCAGUGAUGGCUCCGGUACCUUUGUGGUCUUAGGUACAUAAGGGUCCGGGUUAAUAAUCCAGCACUGCUUCUGCUUCUUUGCCGGAGGUGGAUUGGGGGGCGGCGUCUGAUCACCCGCCGGACGAGGACUGGGGGGCGGCGGCUGAUCACCCGCCGGACGUUGUGGACUGGGGGGCGGCGUCAGCUGACGUGACGGAGGUGUAGGUGAACCGCCACCACCACCACCACCACCACCACCGCCACCGCCACCACCACCACCGUAGGGGGGUGGACUUGUUGUCCUUGGCGCCUCGCCUGGAAACUUGGUAAACUUCUUUUGCCAUAGAAUGAAAUGGCGCUUGACAUCUCCAAGUCUUUUCUCCCCUUCAGGUGUAGCAAUGUCAAUCUCCAGGUCCUCAAACCCUUGGACUAUGUCCUCCACCGUGACACGAGCAUAGCCAUCUUGAAUGGGGUUGUUGUGGUGGAGUGCUCCAGGUAAACAUGGUAAAGCACUGCCGAUGGCUACCUUCAUGGACAUGUUCCCGAUAGGAUAAUACAGAUGACAUUCUUUCAUCUCCUUUAUAUCGUCCACGGGGUAGCGAGGAGGCUCCGGUGCAGUAAUUUCGACCACCAGAGGCUCCGGUGCAGUAAUUUCGACCACCAGAGGCUUCGGUGCAGUAAUUUCGAUCGUCGGUGCAUCUGCACCAGCCGGUGGGGCCUCCGUGGAAGCCACGCUGCUUCUCCGCUGCUGGCUUCCGAGAUCCGCUGGAUGAUCUUCAUGCUGCACCCGAGCUGCAUCUCUUUCGGCUACUAGUACACUCAUGGUUUUCUUCAUCACAUCCAUUUCCGAUGCCAACCGCGCCACAACAUCUGCUUCCCGAUCCAUCUUUCUCUUACGGCUUCUGUAACCGUACGGGUCAUCGUUCUGGGGGAACCCUAUUUUCCACGGAAUGUGCCCCAUGCCUCGUACACGUCCUCCGUGUUCAGGAUUCCCGAGGGCUUUUGUCAGCGCGUCGUUCUCUCUGUUGAACUUGAUCUUCCCCUGUUGAGCAUCCCUCAUUGCGUUAAUAAGGGCUUGGGUGGGUUUAAUUAAUUUGCCCCGGUAAACACACUCCCCUGUCUCCGGGUUCAGCGUUCCCCCAUACCCGUACCACCAGCUUUUGGCCCUUGGGUCCCAUCCCUCUGUACCUGGACGGAUUCCUCGCGCCCUCAGCUCGUUCUCCAUCUUCUCCAACCUAGGCACCCAAAUGCGAUACCCUCCUGGCCCCAUAACAUGAUUGUACUCCUUCUUAGCCGCAUUUUCCUUAUUUUUUUCGAUAUUUGAAUGAACUGCUCCGAUUUCUUUUGCUUCACAAAUUCUGGCCAAUCAUGUUUCAGUUUCUCAUAUUGUCCUUUGAAAUCCGGAGUCUUGUUCUGCUUGACAAAGUCAUGGGCUAGAUUUUGCUUGAAUUUCCGGAAUGCGUCGGCCAUCUUAUGAAGAGCGAACUGUUUGACUAGCCUCCUCCUCUCCUUGUUUUCCUCAAUCUUGUUACCCUCCUCAUCGAAUUUGUUGUAUUCCGGAGGUAGAACGAAAUGUUCCAUAAGCUUCUUGAAGCAAUCUUUUUUUGUUCUCUUAUCGACAAAAGUGAAACCAUCAAUUCGUGCCUUCUUUGGCUCAUUCCACUCCUGGACGGUGAUCGAGACGUUGUCUCUAACAAUGGCUCCGCAUUGGCUGACAAACUUGGUGGCGUUCAAAAAAGAUGACCUUCUCUUCUUUGGUCAGAGCGUAGCUGGCACGACCUUGAAACCAUUCCGGAUGCCGGUCAUCAGGGUCUUUCAAACGUUGCUGGUCCUGCCGUGCUUCCUUUGUAUCAUUUGUCUUCCCAUACACGCCCAAGAAGCUUAGGAGGUUCACGCAAAUAUUCUUCGUAACGUGCAUCACGUCGAUUGCAGAGCGGACAUCUAGGACUUUCCAAUAUUCUAGCUCCCAGAAUAUAGAUUUCUUCUUCCACAUGGCUGCGUGCCCGUCAGCUCCCUUCGGAACUGAUUGUCCGCCAGGACCCUUUCCAAAGAUGACUUUCAAAUCCUUGACCAUAUCAAAUACCUCAGCACCAGUGCGUUCCGCAGGCUUCGGCCGGUGAUCUGCCUUGCCGUUGUAAUGCUUGCCUUUCUUUCUUACUGGAUGAAUUUUCGGAAGAAAUCGACGAUGCCCAAGGUACACGUUCUUCUUACAAUUUGGCAAAUGUACACUUUCAGUCUCAUGUAAGCAGUGCGUGCAUGCAUUGUAUCCCUUAUUUGACAGUCCCGAAAGGUUACUAAGAGCAGGCCAAUCGUUGAUGGUUACGAAAAGCAACGCUUGUAGGUCAAAUUCCUCUUGUUUGUGCUCAUCCCACACACGGACACCACCCCACAGCUGUAAAAGUUCAUCAACUAAUGGCCUUAGGUACACAUCGAUGUCGUUGCCGGGUUGCUUCGGACCUUGGAUGAGCACUGGCAUCAUAAUGAACUUCCGCUUCAUGCACAACCAAGGAGGAAGGUUGUAGAUGCAUAGAGUCACGGGCCAGGUGCUAUGGCUGGAGCUCUGCUCGCCAAAAGGAUUCAUGCCAUCCAUACUUAGAGCAAAUCUUAUGUUCCUUGCGUCAGCUGCAAAAUCUUUGAACCAUCUGUCGAUCUUUCUCCAUUGCGUUCCAUCUGCGGUGUGUCUCAACUCCCCGUCCGACUUACGGUCCUCUUUGUGCCAUCGCAACAACUUGGCAUGCUCUUUGUUCCUGAACAGACGUUUCAACCGUGGUAUCAUAGGAGCAUACCACAUCACCUUGGCGGGAACCCUCUUCCUGGGUUUCUGGCCCUCAACAUCGUCACCAGGGUCAUCGCCUCUGAUCUUAUAACGCAAUGCAGUGCAUACCGGGCAUUCAUUCAAAUUCUCGUAUUCACCGCGGUAGAGGAUGCAGUCGUUGAUGCAUGCAUGUAUCUUCAGAACCUCUAAACCUAGAGGGCAGACAACCUUCUUUGCUUCGUACGUACUGGCGGGCAACUCGUUAUCCUUUGGAAACAUAUUCUUCAACAUUUUCAGCAAGUUUUCAAAUGCCGAGUCAGCUACACCUGCCUCUGCCUUCCAUUUCAGCAAAUCCAGUGUGCAGCCCAGCUUUUUCAGACCAUCAUCGCAUCCGGGGUACAGCGCCUUUCUGUGAUCCUCUAACAUGCGAUCCAAAUUCUCCCUCUCCUUUUCAGUUUUGCAACGUCUCCGUGCAUUAGCAAUGGUCCGACCAAGAUCAUCAACGGGAUCAUCACGUGCCUCUUCUUCACCUUCCCCUUCACCUUCAGCAUCCUCCAUGAAAGUAUCACCGAAAUGAGCAAGAUAGCUUUCAUCGAUGAAAUCAUCCCCUUCUUCAUCUUCUUCCAUUAUAACCCCUCUUUCUCCAUGCUUGGUCCAACAAUUAUAGCUUGGCAUGAAACCGUGCCGAAGCAGAUGCAUGUGAACAUCUCUUGAGGAAGAGUAACCUUUCUGAUUCUUACAGAUAACACAUGGACAGAUAACAAAAACCCCCUGCUUGUUCGCAUUAGCCACUACGAGGAAAUCUUUCAAACCCGUAGUGAACUCGCCGGAGAGUCGGUUACCGUACAUCCAUUGCCGAUUCAUCUGCAUUAUUAUAAUAUAAAAUAUAUAAUUAACCAUCAUGCAUUUGUUAAACUAACUAGCUACAAACAAUAUAAAUUAAACAAUGAACUGCACACAUGCAUAUUUUAUCAAUGACACAUCAAAGGUUCAUCAAGUUGCUAACCGCGAUCGAGGAGUGUGGCUCCAACACUUCAUGUCAUGUUUGUUUCAUACUCUUGGGGCAUUUCAUCAAACACCUUAUGUGCAUAAGAGGAACCAAAAGCAAACCUAGCUACACCCACUUGUGAAGAGAAUGGCUCCAAAUGGCUAAGUGUUGGCUGCUGGAUGGGUAUAUAUAGGGGAGGGGCUUUAGUUGCGGUUGGCCUGGCAAACCGUGACUAAAGGUGCCCGAAGGCCUUUAGUCGCGGUUGUCCUGGCCAACCGCGACUAAAGACCCUCACGUGCGCCAGCUAGCCACCGAGCGCCCUGGGCCCAGGCCUUUGGUCGCGGUUCACCUCCAGAACCGCGACUAAAGGUCCUAUUAGUCGCGGUUCCUACAGCUUCGCGACUUAUGGGGCUGGACGGAAGCCUGUUUUUCCACCAGUGAGUGACCUAACUUUGAUCUAGCAAUUAUAUCAUUGAAAGCUUCUUUCACACAUGAAUUUAACGAUGUGUUUUGUGUAAGUUGCAUGUCAUAUAUUGUAAGCUGCAGUGCGUCUGCCGGAUUAUCCCGUGCAUCUUCGUCUCAUCUCUCUCGUGAAAACUGCGAUGCAUGAUGUAGUAUGACAGCGUACGUACACCGAUGUUGUUUUGGGAAAAUGGGUGAUGCAAAGGGGACUGAGACCGAGCUCAACCCAGCCUUUUGACCGCUCUCUGCUCUUGACCUGUGGAUAAAACGCAGCAGCUACUACGAAUAUACCACCCUAGACGUGGUGCGCUCACCAAUCUUUUUGGGAACUUGGAAUGCCAAGGGGAGUGAGACCGAACUCAUCAAUCUUGCAUCUAAUUUAGAGAUGACGGAAAAAAAUGUCUAUAAUGAUUCAUCUCUUAAUCUUAUCUUUAAUAACUAGCUAUUCCUAAAAACGUGUUGAGAUAUAUUAUGGUCAAAUCUUUUUUUAUAAGUUUUUUUUCCUUCAUCUCAUCAUUUAUCUUACGUUACACUUUUAAAAUAGCAUCAUUAUAUAUGCCCUUACUUGCAUGCAUGGAUUAGCCUCACCCAGCCUCAAGCUGAUCACCAUCAAGCGUGAGUGCUCUCUCUCCCUCGCAGCUGCUCCCAGCAUGGUAAAACUAGCGUUGCAGCUGGGUAGCACUAGCACAGUGUUGUGUCACGUACAGUCUUAUUAUGAAAACGGCAACUGCGACGCGUUUCACCGGGUCACUCGGGCCUACUCCACCGUACGACCCUAAAUUUAUAUCCAGUUUAUCCGGAUUUUGUCCAUAUGAAAUAGAAAUAGGGAAAACAAACGUUGGACAGAGGUCGGAUAAAUUCACUCCACCUAACGCUGUUUACCUCAUUUUCACCCUAUUUCACCGGUCCGUUCCCGUCAUUUCUUCAAACACGUACCAGGCAUAGCAAACUCACUGCCGUAGCCGCUCCUGCUCAUGCACGUCCUCGCUCCCGCCGCGACCGCAUGUCCGCCGUCGCUCCCGACGUGUCGUCGUGCUUGUGCCCUCGCUCCCGCCGCGCCCGCCUCGUCCGCCCAAGCUCGCCGCCGCCCGCGCGGCCGCGCCUUCUCGCCGCACGCGUCUUCCGCAGCCGUCCGGCGACCCACCACCGGCCCUGUGUCCGACUCNNNNNNNNNNNNNNNNNNNNNNNNNNNNNNNNNNNNNNNNNNNNNNNNNNNNNNNNNNNNNNNNNNNNNNNNNNNNNNNNNNNNNNNNNNNNNNNNNNNNNNNNNNNNNNNNNNNNNNNNNNNNNNNNNNNNNNNNNNNNNNNNNNNNNNNNNNNNNNNNNNNNNNNNNNNNNNNNNNNNNNNNNNNNNNNNNNNNNNNNNNNNNNNNNNNNNNNNNNNNNNNNNNNNNNNNNNNNNNNNNNNNNNNNNNNNNNNNNNNNNNNNNNNNNNNNNNNNNNNNNNNNNNNNNNNNNNNNNNNNNNNNNNNNNNNNNNNNNNNNNNNNNNNNNNNNNNNNNNNNNNNNNNNNNNNNNNNNNNNNNNNNNNNNNNNNNNNNNNNNNNNNNNNNNNNNNNNNNNNNNNNNNNNNNNNNNNNNNNNNNNNNNNNNNNNNNNNNNNNNNNNNNNNNNNNNNNNNNNNNNNNNNNNNNNNNNNNNNNNNNNNNNNNNNNNNNNNNNNNNNNCCCGUGCGCACGCCACUGCCUCACCGUCUCGCGCGCUGCCGCGCCCGUCGUCCCGCACACUCGCCGCCGCCGUGCCUUCCCGCGCGCACGUCGUCGCCGUCCCGUGCACACGCCGCUGCCGUCCCGCGCGCAGGGAGUGGUUGUGGGUGCGCGUGGUGGGCCAGGUACAGAAAAAGAGAGUGUGACAAGUGGGGUCGACGGCGGACACAGACGGACGACGAGGACGCGAAGACGUCCGCUUUCCGUCCGCUUUGGCCCCAAACCGAGAGCAACUUUGGUCUGAAAAUGGGGCAAAAGCGGAUAUAGAACGGACAAAACGUCCAUAUGCUCUCAUGCAUUGGGUCGUUCGGUUUGUUCGUUUUAUCUCAAACGAAUACAAACGAACAAUUUGGAAUAGAAAUGGGUCACGCGGUGGAGUUGGCCACACUACUGCAUUGGAUGAGCAGAGCAGAGAUCCCGUGCAUGCAUGAUCAGUAUUUUUUGUAUGCUGUGGCACGGCAGCUCCCUCUCUCCCUCUCACACACGUCGACAUGACUACCCGGCCAGAGGAGGGACGAUGAAAGGAGCACUGUAUAGUACUACUCGCAGUGCCAUAGUACUACAGCCUGUGAAGCAUGCAUGCAUCGGAAUUCUCACACGGUCCAGCCUUUUGACCACUCUUCAAACGCCUCCCUCGCCGGUCUCUGUCGUCUUCUCCCUCUCGCACAGCCAUCAUGGCCGCCGGGGCACAACCAGCACUGCAUCUAUAUAAGGGCAUCUUCAGCCGUUUGUCUCUCAGGGAGCAUUUAAAAGCCCCGUCUGAAAUGAGCCAGCGUAAAAAAUGGCCCUGGGACCGAGUCGGUCCCCAGCCGUCGGCUCCUAGGGCCGUCCCCAGACGCGUAUUUAAGAAAAAAAGACCAUUCGGCGAAGUUAUGAUAAAAACUAGUUAAAUUUCGGCCAAACAUGGCAAAUUUCGGUGAAAUUCGCGCAUUUUUAUUACAUUAACCUAAUCUAAAAAAGAAAAGGGCUGAAGUCGUCGCCGCCAUCAUCGUCAUCGGCCUUCUCCUCCUUGACGCGGGCCCCUGCUGGACCCCUGCCCGGCGCCACCAUGGCGGACUGGCGACGGCGCAUCGUCGUCGUCGUCGCUGUCGCAUAAGACAACGACCCCGUCUUCGACGCGGCCGCGUCGGCGCUCCUCGAAGCGGCGCAGGGCGGCGCGCUGGCGUUCCUUCUCCUUCUCCCGGCACGCCUUUUCCAUCGCAAUGAAGUCCUGGCUCGCCCAUUCUAGGGCCACGUCGUCGUCGUCGAACUCCGCCUCCACCGGCGCCAGCCCCGGCUCCAUCUUCGGCUUGACGAAGCGCGGAGGAGCCGACGAGGAGGGGCCGCGCCGGCCGCCCUCCUUGAUGACGAUGCCGACGCUGCGAGUGCGUCGACCGAUUGGCGUCUCCGCCGCGGGCUCGGCCUUGACGCCGAGAAGCGCCGGAGAACCGGAGGAGUGGGAAGAUGAGCGAGAGGAGGAAGACGAGGAGGAGGCAAACCUCCUUGGCGCCCAUGCGCGUCGGUGUUGCGACGGGGCGGCCCCCGUCGCAGGAUAGGUCAACGGCGGGUUGUUGCCGCCGUCGAGGUGCGUCAGCACGCCCUCCAGCGUGCGGCCCGGGACGCCCCACCACAGGUGGCGCCCCAUGCUGUUCUUCACGCCGCCGACCACCGAUGCGUCGUUGGUGGAGGCCAGGCGCUGCUGCUGGCGGCGCUGGAAGUACGCCGCCCAAGCCGCAUGAUUGUCGGCGGCGUACUGGGGAGGGAGCGCUCGUCGUCGGUCAGGGAGGCGCGCGCGACCUCGACCUCCUCGGCGAAGUACGUGGGCUUCGCCACGGCGUCGGGUAACGGGGGAACGGGCACUUCCCCGUCGCUGAGCCGUCACCCCGUCGGCCCGGCGCGCAUGUCCGGCGGCGCCGGGAUGUUCGCCUGGAACAGGAGCCAGGACUCCUGUUCGCGGAGCGAACGGCGGCCGAAGCCGUUCGCCGCCGCCUCGUCUCCGGGAAAGCGCUCUGCCAUGGCGACGGGCUCGGCGGUGGUAGAGAGGGAGAGAGGGGCUGUCGGCGGCGCUUGGGAGAGGAAGACGGAGACGAAGAGAGGGGCUGGGCGGCGGCGAGGGGCGAGUCUGGUGUGGACACCGGCGAGAACCACCGGCUUUUAUAGCCGCUCCGCGCCCGUGUGUACACGUGCGAGGGAGGAGAGGCGUCGGCGCGCCGUACCGAGACGCGCCGCCCGUGAGGAACCAAUGGCAAGGCUGACCGGCGGCAGCCUUUCCAUUGAUUCCCCGCGGGAACCGAGGCAGUUGGGGGGAAGACGAGCCGCCGUGUCCCUGACGCGGCUGACCCACGGCUUUUUCGCGCCAAAACAGUUCGCCCCGGCACCCCGGGCGCCCCUAGCGCGCCGGGUUCGGCCUGGGUCCGUCGGCGCUGUUUUCGGCCCAGGCCGGCGAAAAUCGGGCUCCUGGAAACACGACUGGACCGUUUUUUCAGCAUCGGCGUAAAAAAAGGCUGGAGAUGCCUUCCUGGAGGCGCGGCUGGAGAUGCCCUAAACAGCCGUCCCCGCUUGCAGCCCAGCUCCACCAGCCACCCAACCAUCAGCUCAUCAGUCCUACUCCCCGCUCCCCACCCUUCGUUGCAGCAGCAGCAGCAGCUCCACCUCCACCCAUGGCGAUGUUCAAGAAGGUGGCCAAGCACCAGCUGCAGCUGCUCUUCAUCGUGUUCAUCCUCGGCAGCUCCGAGCGCGUGCGCCGCGCCGACGAUGCCAACCCCUGCGGGAGGGACGUCCACGCGCGCGCCGUCCUCGCGCACCGCCUCCUCGCCCUCGCCGCACUCCCCGCCGCCGCGCUGCUCCUCUCGGUGAGGAUGGCGGUCGGCCGCGCCGAGGCCGCCGCGCUCGCCGCGGGCGCCAAGGCCGAGGGCCUCGCGUCCGUCCGGGGCCUGUGGCGCAGGGCGGCGCUGCGCGCGCAGCUCCUCCUCGCCGUCGCCCUCUGCGCCGCCUCCUCCCUCUUCGCCGGCGCCGCCUUCCACUACGGCCUCCGGUACAAGUCUGGCUGCGCCGCGGACCUGGCGCUGUGGAUCCUCGCCCCCCUGAAGGCGCUGGUCAUGGUGGGCAUGGUUUCUCUGCACUGCAAGUACGCGCGGGCGGCCGUGUCCAGCAACUAGACGAUCCAUCAGCCAGCCAGCCGGCGUAGCUAUCGUCGUCGUCGUCGUCGAUCGUGUUCGUGUCAGGGUGAAGUGGGUGUGUGUGUGCGUUGUAUCUUGUACCCGAACUGGCGUGUCCGCAAGUCUGAAGGUCCAUGAUGUAACUUAGGGAGUGCGUGCCACGGCUGUUUGGAUUCGGGAUCUCGAUGAUCUAUUCCAUGGUGUUCUCUGCUCGUUUCGCAAUUGCUGUAUUCUCGAUCUUGCUGUAUUUACAUAGUACGUGCUCGUCUUGUGUGGAAGUUUUACCGGUGGGGAUGGAUGUGGACGUUCAAUUCAAACUAUGGUGCACUCCAAGCCAACCAAAUCAAAUCAUGUUUUCUUCUUACUGAUUUUCACAGUUUGGGGCGGAUUUUGGGUCCGCAUGCAUCAUGCAGCUUCACUCUUGGUUUUCUCUUGUGACGUACAAACGUGUUCCUUGAGGUUCAGGGCAGGGCAGUACGCGAUACCAAGUGUUGGACCCCUUGAUCGUAGGGACGACGCUCCUCUGCCGUGCGCUACGUGCCGUUGGGCCACUGACAUGUGGGCCAGGUUUCCAAAAGGCCCACAUGUCAGUGACAGAACGGCAGGCUGCCGUACGUCAGAGGAUCCUCAUCCUGAUCGUAGGGAUGGAGAAAGCGAGGGCUGAUAUCUCAUUGGCACAUUGUGUACAUUAAUCUGGGCUGUCCAUCCUUGGUGGCUUGGUGCAACGGGCAUGUUACAACGUGACACGUCACUGGAUCCCUGUCCUUCGCCUCGUAAUGGUCGUGUGGGUCCAACCAAUCCCAAUGGAAGCUACAGGGAAGGAAGUAAAAAGAUGGUUUGGAGGAACGGGCAGAGAAUGAAGAGCAGGUCGGCCCAAGCUUUGCUACAUCUACCUACGAGGUGAUCUGUCGUGAUUUGGUUGGAAGAAACAAAAAAACGCCCACCUCGAGGAAAAAAACCCAGCGAUGCUACAUCUACGUAGAGGGUGUUUAUUUUCAGAGACUUAUUAGUUUAGGGACUUAAUAAAGUUCCUAUAAGGAUAUGUCGACGCAUCCAUGGAUUCCAUUUUCUCAUUUUGUGCUAAAGAACACACGGCUAUGGCCGAGAUACGAGGCAACAUCAAUUUUCAUAGAAAUAAUAGAAAGUUCGUAGGAAGGUUGUUAAUUUUACUAGAUGACCCCUCCAGAAACUUAAUUUGUCCAAUAAUCUUUAAAACCUUAUUUCGGCAUGUGACCCCAAAUUUACACCGAACUGUAAGACGCAAAGAAUCCGUACAAGCGAUGUACCCCAAGGAGUGUUUGACGGGCCGCGCCACCCAGCGUGCUCCUCCCUAUCGCGCCUCACAAGUCACAAUAAGGCGUGUUACUAGUAUACCAUGUAGUGACCCAUCGGGCGUGUUUAUCCUAUUGGCACGCCUCCUUAUUAGAUGUCUUUUUUUCUUUUUUGCGAAAACUCCUUAUAAGGGGUCUUCCCUAGCCAGUAACGCCUUUAUAUUACACGGCAUUCUCUUAUAACUAGAUGAUAUCUCGCGCGUUGCUGUGAGAACCUUGUUAAAAAUGUAUAGUUAGGUGCUACACAAUCAACUAAAACUAAUGCAAAACAAAUGUAGAAUUAUCCUUGAUUUGUUUAUUUUCAAAAUUAAGCAUAAAGCAUGUAACAGUAUGAUGUAGUGCAAAUCUUAAAAUUAUAGUACAAAAUGUUAUUUUCUUGCAAAAAGUAAUACUUAACUACUUAGGUAUUCUCCAAGCAUUCAACACAGGCCGUCCAUGACAAUACAAAAUAUUGACACAUUUGACCAAAUCCGGAGCCAAUAAAGCAACACUGGAAAUACAAAAAGAAAAUCAAUACAUAUACUGUUUGUACUUGAGUUGAUAACUUAAACCUGUUCACCUGUUCACCUGUUCUGCACUCUUAUCAAUCUUGCCAACCAUCCCCCUCUUUUUCUACAAAUGAAUAGAUAGUCAUAAGUAUCAUUAUGAGUGGGAACAAAUAUUUUUACAUGCAUUUGCGCAUGUAAGCAUAAAAUGAAACAACCAUUUUGUCUUGCAGAUAUUGGCUCAAAUCUGGAUCCAUUCUCCAUAUACCCAGCGUAAGCUAGUGUAACAGUACUUGAAAGAUGUGAAAUAUGUAUCUUAUGAUUAGAGUAUCGAUUGCACUUUCUUCACACAUAAAAUUAAACUGCAAAUUGUUAAUUUCCAGAAAAUGGUGAGUGUCAAGUCAAUAAAUAGAACAUGAGUUGAGGAGUGGCGGUUGAUUGUUCAUAUGGCAGCACGGAUAUUUCUUUUCUUGUUUUACAACACCGUGGGUAAAGGUGAAAUAUGGUGGUCAUCAGCAUAUAUUGGGUAUGUCGUUGACUCAUGGAUAUGAAGAAAAGAGUAGGUGGAUGGCAUUAGUGACAAAGAUAUCAGUGGAAUCAAGGAUUUAAGUCAGUACGUUUGCACAUGUACUCAAAAGCAACGCAAUUGUCUUCAAUGGCGAGAGUAAUAAGUUGUUAGUUGUUACUAAGGACAUACAAAUUUUCAGAUUUUGGGUAUCAACAGGGACUGUACAUAUUCUUACAGGAUAGCUGUAGAGACCACAAUUCAAGUCGAAGGAAUCAUAUACAACAAUGAAGUACUCCCUCCGGUCCUUUUUAGUCUGCAUAUAAGUUUUGUCUGAAGUCAAAGCAUCUCUACUUUGACCGAAUUUAUAGAAAAAAGUAUUGACAUUUACGAUGCCAAAUCAAUUUUGUUAGAUUCAUUACGAAAUGUAGUUUCAUGGGAUAUAUAUUUGGUAUGGUAAAUAUUGAUAUUUUUUAAUAUAUAUUUGGUCAAACUUUGCAAAGUUUGACUUGACCCAAAUCUAAUAUGCAUAGUAAAACGGACCGGAGGGAGUACUAAACUGUAGUCAAGACAUGACUUGUCUUGUACAAAUAAUAUUGUUCAUAUAUAGUUCUCACCUAAAACUUUGAGGCAACUCACAUGAAAAUAUUUUGCCCUGCCAAAACUCUGACGUGUUGCUGCAUGAAAUGAUCAGAGACUAAGAAUUAGUUAGUAGAAACCCACAAAUAAGUUAGUUAGGAACCCAAAUAGCAUACCAGAACGGAUUCUGGCAAUCUGAACUUUCCCAUAUUCCUGAAAAUUGGUUCUUCUGUUGCGGGGACCUGAAAAUUGCCUCCACUGAAAGAUUCCAAGUUGUAUGAUGCAUGUGAAUGACAAACUUGCAUAAAAGGAAAAUCGUGAUGUUCCUGAUUAAUUACGUGCCAAAACAUGAAGAAAUCAUAUUGCGGAAGUAAUCUGCAUAAAUCAUAUCAUAUAUAAAUUGAUUACUUUUUCUAAUGUCAAAUCAGAAAGAAAGUAAGUAAAUUAAUGUCCCAACCAGGAUGCAAUCUUGAUUUCCUAAUUUCAAAUCAAUCAUUUUGUAGGGGACUUCUGAUCGAUCUAGCUGCAACCGAACGAAGAUCCUUCGACGUCCAGACCUUGUCGCCUCCCGCUCUCGGUGUCUCUCUCUCGGACACGUCUGGUUACCAUUGGAGCACCAUUACGGAGGACCUCCCUAUGGUAUAUGGUCGCCACGAGCAGAAUAUGAGAAAAAAUGAAUGGAAAUUUAGUAGAUCUAACCCUCACAACAUGCUCCCUUCUUUCUCCCGUCAGACAGACACUCAGAGGCCACCGAACUCCGCCAUGCUCCCUUGAUCUCUCUCGUCUUUCCCACUCAGAUCCGUCUAGCCGCGGUAGGUGAAAGUAUCCAAGCAACAGAAGGCGGAAGGCGAGGGCGUUCGGACUAGAUCGUCUACAAUCGAGUGGGGAGGCUUGAAGAUAUCCGAGUGGAGAAAAGAUGAGACGUGCAGACGCAAGAGUGCGUCUCGGCUCUUAAAGAGUAGACUUAUCUCGUCGGUUUCAGAAGACAAAGAGGAACCUAUGUGUACUACAAUUAUUAAAUCACAGAAUUUGUUUAGUGGAUUUUUUGCUGAGGUGGCAGAUUUGCUGAGGUGGACCGAUGAUGACAUGGAUGCACGUGGUUGGAUGCUGAUGUGUCUAUGAUGCAUGUUUAGAUAAAUCAAGUGGUGGGGGUGAACUUCUUAAGUAUAUAGGAUUAGUGGAGCCUCAGACGCCAUCUUUUAUAUUCACUACAAGCCUUGAAGAUUUCAUGGUGGUACACAUUUUACAUUCAACUGUAUUUGUUUUAAGCUCGCUCAGAUUGUUAGCUAACACACNNNNNNNNNNNNNNNNNNNNNNNNNNNNNNNNNNNNNNNNNNNNNNNNNNNNNNNNNNNNNNNNNNNNNNNNNNNNNNNNNNNNNNNNNNNNNNNNNNNNNNNNNNNNNNNNNNNNNNNNNNNNNNNNNNNNNNNNNNNNNNNNNNNNNNNNNNNNNNNNNNNNNNNNNNNNNNNNNNNNNNNNNNNNNNNNNNNNNNNNNNNNNNNNNNNNNNNNNNNNNNNNNNNNNNNNNNNNNNNNNNNNNNNNNNNNNNNNNNNNNNNNNNNNNNNNNNNNNNNNNNNNNNNNNNNNNNNNNNNNNNNNNNNNNNNNNNNNNNNNNNNNNNNNNNNNNNNNNNNNNNNNNNNNNNNNNNNNNNNNNNNNNNNNNNNNNNNNNNNNNAGCAGAAGUUCUCUCCAACAGAAAACGGAAACGAAGUUGGUGCACUAAUUAUUACAAAGCCAAGUCCGAAGGAAAGGGAACGAAGAAGAAUUUUAUCCAUCAGCUCUUUUCAUGCUCCCCUCCCACACCUCACAUCCAGGCUAUCCGCAUCACCUCUCCACGUCGCUUGUCCAGCAGAAGGAUACACCUUUGCAGCAGGGUUGCUUGAGCAUUGUCGCAGAGAACUUUCCACUAGUGCAAAUAACAGCUUAGUCUUGCAAGAAUGCAGUUCACGUUUCUCCAUUUCUAGCCCUAAAAACAGAAAUUGUUUCUUAGUCUCCACAAACUCCACAAGGAGGCAGCAAUAACCAUGUUAAGCACAUGCUUUUUUUAUGAACUCGCCAGAAAGCAAAGAUAUCGUCAAAGUUAGCAAUUCUAUCCAUCUCAAAGAAGUCAGAUACAAAACCCCACACAUGUUGAGCAACUACACAGUCAAACAUCAAAUGUUGUACAGAUUCGAGCUCUGCACAAAAGAGACAGGAAGGAUCCUCAACCUCCCUCCUCUUUAACAGAUUAUCCCUAGUCAGAAGUUUAUUGUGAGCACACAACCAUAGGAAUACAUGUAUCUUCUGCGGGCACAUAAUCUUCCACAGAUCAUCUUUGAUAGCAGAGGCUAUCCCCCCAAAGUUGAUGCAUUUAUAGAAAGAUUUCACCGAGUAUAAUUCAUUAGAUUCCAAGGACCAAAUCUGUGUAUCAGGUUCAUUUGAUAAGAUACACUGUUGAACAAGUUUCAACAAAGAGUCCCAUCUGUUAAGCCCAUUUUGAUCUACACAUCUCCUAAAGGAUAACUUAAGUUCUUGCCUGUCCCAUACUUGAGCCACAAUGCAUUCCAUUUGAUUGCACAUGCAAUACAAGUCCCAAAAUUGAACCUUCAGGGAACAUUCCCCAACCCAGGUAUCAUGCCAAAAACUAAUCAACUCACCAUUACCCAGCUUCCAUCUAUAGAAAUUUUUAGCAGCUGCUAAUGCCCAAGUGAUGCUCUUCCAAAAGGUAGAGCCGCCAUCUCCUUUUGCCCAUAAUAGGUUAGGAGAGUUCACUCUAUACUUGUAACUAAUAAAAUUUUUUCUAGUCUGCAUCAGAUUCAUCAAAGAACCUUUUGCCCCAGGAAGCCAGCAAGGCCAUAUUAAAUUCCUUGAUGUUAGGAAUCCCCAAUCCUCCAUAUUCUUUUCUCCUAGUAAUAACCCCCCAAUUAGCUAGAUGAUAUUUGUGCUGGUCCCCAAUAUUCCCCCAAAAGAAGUGAGCCAUUUGGGAGUUAAUGGCAUUAAUAGCCCAUAUUGGAAACUUAAUGACAGACAUAAGGUAGGCAGGUAUGCUAAUCAAGCAUGCACAAAGCAAAAUAAUUUUGCCUCUAUAUGUGAGGUAUCUCCCAAGCCAUCCAGAAAUGCCCUUGAUAAUUCUAUCUAUAAUGGGCUGGAGAUCCUCCCUUUCAUGUCAUGGGGUUUCAGGUCUUUGGAGAAGAAAGUGAACUGAUGAACAUAGUGAUAUUUACAUGUACAUAUGAAGAGGAUAGCGGUGUAACGGCAGUUGUGCUGCGUUGCAAAGUAGGGGUGGUAGCGCCAGUGCUCUGCAUGAGAGAGCACGCGAGGCAAAAAUGCUAGACGCACGGACCCAUUACGGGCUGAUUACGGGCCUUCUCUUUAAUACUUUCCACCCCCCCCCCCCCCCUGAUUUCAGGUGGGUGGGGCCCGCGUAUCCCCCUUAAACCAAUAACCAUUUGCCAUGUCAGCACCAGCCCCGUAAUCAGCCCGUAAAACUCCGUGUGUGUAGCAUCUCUGCACGCGAGGUAAAGCUAGCGUUGCAGCUGGGUAGCAGAGUGCUGUGUCACGUACAUACAGGCGUAUCACGGAAACGGCAACUGCGAGAUGCAUUUGGCCGGCUCAGCCGUACGUACGGUACCCUGCAUGCAUGAAAGUCUCUCCAGACUUUUGACCACAAUUUCAAAAUUUCAAACGCCUCCCUCCCUCGCCCGUCUCUGCCAUCUUCUCCCUCUCGCACACCCAUCAUGACGACCCCAAACAGCCAGCCCGCAGCCUCGAACCUCUCUCAGUCAAGACCCAUGGCGAUCUUCAGGAAAGUGACCCAGCUCCAGCUGCAGCUGCUCUUCAUCGUGUUCCUCCUCGGCAGCUCCGUCCGCGUGCCCCCGCCCGACGACGCCAACCCCUGCGGGAGGGACGUCUACCAGCGCGCCGUCCUCGCCCACCGCCUCCUCGCCCUCGCCGCCCUCCCCGCCGCCGCGCUGCUCCUCUCGGUGUGGGUGGCGGUCGGCCGCGCCGAGGCCGCCGCGCUCGCCGCGGGCGCCAAGGUCGAGGGGCUGGCGUCCGUCGCGGGCCGGUGGCGCCGGGCGGCGCUCCUCCUCGCCGUCGCCCUCUGCGCCGCCUCCUGCCUCUUCGCCGGCGCCGCCUCCCACUACAGCCUCCGCUACACGUCCGGCUGCUCCGUGGACCUGGCGACGGGGAUCCUCGUCCCGGCCCAGGUGCUGGCGUUCGUGAGCAUGGGUACUCUGCACUGCAACUUUGCGUGGGCCGCCGUGUCCAGCAACUAGAUGGUCCAUCCGUCUAGCCAACCAGCCGGCGUGUGGCUAGUCGUCCGUCGUCGUCGUCGUCGAUCGUGUUCGUGUUAGGGUGAAGGUGUGUGUGUGUCAGUGUGUGCGUUGUAUCCGAACUGAAUUGGCGUGUCUGGACGUCUGAAGGUCCAUGUAACUUAGGGAGUGCGUGCGUGGGAAGAAGAAGCACUGUAUGUGCUGAUCGAUGGCUGGUUGGAUUCUCGAUCUCGAUGGUUUAGUCAUCAAGUUCUACCCGUUUCCCCAUUGCCGAUGAAUUUGCAUGCGUUCGUUCGCUUCUGUCGCUCGAUUCGAUUCCAGUUCACUCCGGCGACUCCGCUCGGGCUGCAUGCGUGCAUGCGUGCGUGCUUGCUGGCGCUGCUGAACCGUGCCGGCGUACGUACAGAGGGGCAUGCAUGCUCUGCUUUGCUAUGUUCAUUUGUUCAGAACACAUGGCGUCACUCUACGUAGCAGGGCACAUAUCAUCCAGCGUUUUUGAGAGAGAGAGAGAGAGAGAGAGAGAGAGAGAUGCCAACGCAUCCAUGGAUUCCAUUUUUCUCAUUUGGUGCAACACAACACCGGUACAGUUGCAUGAUGGCGUGGUCAUGACCCAUGGCAAGACAGAGAGAAUACUUGCUCCUGCGACUCGUCGCCCUCCUUUCCACGUGACGUGAGCGGUUCUUCGGCGGUCAAAAGCAGAGAGCCCGCUGCGCUCGGGGCCCAGGAUUUCCAUCCAAGGUGGCAUGCGUGGGGUGCAGUGCAUCCGGGGAAAAUACCCCAUGCACAGGAGCUUGUGGUGCUACCGAUGCACCGAAGUCAUAUUGUGCUUCUAAAAUGUUUAAAAAAUUCUGACAAAAAUUUAGCACACUAACAUAACAUCAAUGUAAGUUGUCACAAAAUUUCAAGUCAAAAUUUAAAACAUAACUCGGAAAACAAAAAUAACAAAUUCAACACUGAAUAGUACAUAAUAUAGCUUGGGCUUUAGAUUGGGCCCAUUAUCACACUGAUGUCAAAUUUAUAAUUUUUAUCUCAAAAAUAAUUCAAAUUUUAUAAAAAAAUUGUGACAUUAUACGUUGAUGUUGCAUUUACGUGCUGGAAUUUUUUCAGAUUUUUAAAAACAUUUUAUGGCAUCUGAUGCACCGGUAGCACCACAAGUGCGGAUGCACCAGAUACAUUCUCAGUGUAUCUGUUGUACCAGGUAUGAUGCAUACACCGGUGAGUAAGAACUGGCACUUUACCAUGUGAGAUGGGUUACAGGGGUGGGUUUUCUUAGGGUGGCGAUUAUAACAACCAUGAGACAUCACAAGAACAUAAUCAAGGUGUAUGGGUGAUAUAAUCGAGGUCUAUUAGUAAUGGAUAUUGCCGUAUUGGAGGUUUUAUUCUUGUUGUUUGAUACUUUCUUCAUCCGAAAAAACUUGUCUUAAAUUUAUUCUUUAAAUGAAUGUAUUUAGCACUAACUUGAUACUACAUAUAUUCAUUUAAGAGAUAAACUUUUUCGAACGAAGGAAGUACUUACUACACCUUCUUAUUGGCUCCAUGGGUUGGUACUACUGUUCUGUAAAAACAACAUCGAAUUCGUUCCCUAGUACGCCCAUGCACGAUGGACGGAUGAUCAUGUAGUUGUCAUGAAUAAAUUACCACCUUCCUUGUCUCUCCACUCGUGGACGCGGGUAUCUUGCUAAGGCUGCUUUCAAUGCAUUGAUGCUUACAUGAGGUGCUAAGUAUAUUAAAUACUUUAGCAAUUAAAGACCUCAAUGCAUAUGUGCUUAAUUUGUUGGUGCUAAGUAUCCUUCAUUUAAUGAUUUUGCAACUAAAGUUCUUCAUACAUUGGUGGAAUUCUUCAAUUUAAGUGUUUUGCCUAGGUUCUCGCGCUUGGUGUGGUUUCUUCCUGGGUCACCACACUCAUCUCUCUCCUCUUAAUUACCUUGCCACAUCAGAAUUUUUGCCUACAUGGCAGGCUUAGCACCUGUACAAGGUGAAGCAUUGGGAAGGGCCUAAGGCUACUACCAAUGCAAAGGUGCUUACAUGAGGUGCUAAGUGUAUUAAAUAUCUUAGCAACUAGUCUUCCCAAUGCAUAGUUGCUUAGCUUUUGUACUACCUCUCUCUCAGUUUACAGGGUGUGCGCGUGCCCCUAGGUCGUUAAUUUGACCAACUUAAUACAAGUCAUAUAUUACAAAAAAUUUAUCAAUAUAAACUUCAGAUGUUCUAUUUUCAAACCGUAUAAUUUUUGUGUUAUAUAGUUUAUAUUAAGAUGAUAAAAUUGACAACCUAGGUAUACGCGUAGGACUUGUAAACUGAAACGGAGGUAGUAGCUAAGCUCCUCUCAUUGAAUUGUUUAAUAAUUAAACUCCUUCAUCUAUUGGUUGGUAGUCAUUUUGUAUAGGUCCACGUGCUUAGCACUGUUUCCUCUUGGGGUCACCAUAAUGUUCUCUCUCCUUUUUAAUUGCUUUGCCACAUCACAUUUUUGACUAUGUGGCAUCCUUAGCACCUGUACACCGUGGAGCAUUGGGAGGGGCCUAAUGCAGUAGUACGACUCUACUUUUGUGCACAUCCCGAUGCAAUGAAUACUUUGAGCUGCCACGUGUAUUCCAAGGUGUAGCUUAUGAGGAACAUUGUAUCUCCAACCGAUCGAUUUAUUAUUAGAGGCAAUAUCACCAGUAAUUAUAGAACUUGCGUUUGAUGUUUAGUUUGAUGCUAGAACUUUAAAAAUACGUAUUUGUGAUCACAUAACUUGAGAUGGCGUGCAAAUUCGGUGAUUUCUCUCGUAUCGGGCUGUAUGGCAAUGCCCAUUUGACUGAACAUCGAGUGCAAGUUCUAUGAUUCUCGAUGAUAUUACAUCUUAUAAUUUAUUUGAUAACUCUAACAGAUGAGUUUGCUUGCUUGUCAGUAUCAACAACUUUGUGGCACACUUAAGCACAUUUUUAUUAGAACCACUUAAGCACAGUUUAAUGGACUGAUAGACGGUGAUGACGAAAAGGACAUGUGGUUGGACUUCCGCCGCCGCACCUCAACACAUCAGCAAUGACCAGAUGACGAAACUGAUUGGACAAAUCUGAUGCGAUGCGCUCCUCCGGCUAGCGCCAAGUGGAUGCAUCCCGAUUCGUCUCUCCUAUGCUGCAAUGAAGAUUUCAUUUCAGAAAAUGGUGCAUGGACAAUGCUUUUUGUGAAAAGUUCAGGCCAUUUAUUCAACAUUUUAGCUAUAUGUAUCUCGCAAAAAAAAAACUUAGGCUAUACAUACAUCACCUGGAAAUUGGUUUUUUUUGGGGCCAGUCUUUUUUGGCCGAUGAUUCCUGCUCUCAGAUUCGUGCUUUUUUUUUCCUAGGCUGUUUUGUCACCAUGUUUGGGCUGUUUCUUUUUGCACUUUAGCUACUUGUAAGUUGCCUGACUUUUGAAUUUGGGUCCGUCAAUUUUCUGGCCAUUGAUUUUUGCUCUAAGAUUCGUGCUGCAUUUUUUUCUGCCAUGUGUUGUUUGUUGGGUUGUGCUUGUUUUUUUCCGACUGAUCCCAUAUUUGGGUCAGUGGAUUUGCUACUGGGCCAAAGCCCACUAAGUGUGUGAUCAAGCUCUCCUCUAUCCCUUUGUUUCUUUUCUGUUUUUAUGUGUUUUUGCUUUUAUUUCUUCUUCCAUGUAAACUGUGUGACGGAUGAAUAAAAAGCUUUGUGAGUUUGCCUCAAAAAAAUGUGUUAUUGCUUUUUUUUCUUUGUUAGUUGGUUUUUAUUUUUAUUUGAUGUUGGAUAAGUGUAUAUGUAUACACUUGAAUACAAUGCAAUAUGUGUGAAAAUUACACUCUUAUAUGAUUAUUGUUUGCAUACUACAAAAAGUGCAAUUUUAGAGCAAAGUUGUGUGCAAUUUUUUAAAUCUUUUUACAUUAUCUUUCUUCUUUAAAUGGUAAUACUAUUGAUACGGAUUCAUUGUUCUUUAUUUUGAAAUUUUUAGUUAUUAUUUAUUGUCUUUCUUCUUCAAGGGUAAAAUCAGUGUGACUAAAUUCAUUGCUUCUUAGGAGUUGGUUUUGUGAAAAUUCUACUAUUAUGUGUUUAUUCUUGCAUACGUUUGAAUUACACAUUUUUUGUGAAUAUUGUGUGCACCUUUUGUCAUUGUUUCUUUUUUUUUACCGACCUCUGGGUAAUAACNNNNNNNNNNNNNNNNNNNNNNNNNNNNNNNNNNNNNNNNNNNNNNNNNNNNNNNNNNNNNNNNNNNNNNNNNNNNNNNNNNNNNNNNNNNNNNNNNNNNNNNNNNNNNNNNNNNNNNNNNNNNNNNNNNNNNNNNNNNNNNNNNNNNNNNNNNNNNNNNNNNNNNNNNNNNNNNNNNNNNNNNNNNNNNNNNNNNNNNNNNNNNNNNNNNNNNNNNNNNNNNNNNNNNNNNNNNNNNNNNNNNNNNNNNNNNNNNNNNNNNNNNNNNNNNNNNNNNNNNNNNNNNNNNNAUAACGAUGCCACUAAUUUAUUAUUCCUUACAAACCUUCAUUAUUUUGAUUUUAUUUAAGUUUUUAUUUUCUUUCUUCUUUAAGGGUAAGACCAAUGCCACUAAUUCAUUCCUUCUUAAGAUUGCCUUCUUAAGAUUGCUUUUCGCGAAUUUCACUAUUUAUAUGCUUAUUACUGUGUAUUAUUAAAAAGCGCAUUUUUAUGAAAAUUGUGUGCAAAUUAUUUCUUUUAUACUUUUCUUUCUUAAUAAAUGGCAACACCAAUUCCAUUAAUUUAUUCUUUCUUAGAAACUUCAUUAUAAUGAUUUUGUUUUAGUUUAUAAAGGGUAAUAUCGAAGCCACUAAUUUAUUCUUUCUUAGAACUACUUCAUUAUUUUGAUUUUGUAUGAGUUUUCGAUUCAUUUUCUUUUAUUUCUUAAAAAAUCACUAUGAUUAUUUUGUUUUAGUUUCUAUUUUAUUUCCUUUCCUAUUAAAGGGUAAUACCAAAGCCACUAAUACAUUCUUUAUUAGAAAAUCUUCAUUAUUUUGAUUUUGUUUUAGUUUUGUUCCAUUUUUCUUUACUGGUAAUACCAAUGCCACAAAUUCUUUCCUUCUUAGGAAAUUUCCUUUUUUGUCAAAUUUCACUAUUAUAUGCUUGCUCUUGCAUAUUAUAGAAAGUGCAAUUUCUAUGUAAAUUAUGUGCAAAUUUUGAUAUCUUCUGUUUUAGAUUAGUUUUAAUUUUCUUUCCUCGUAAAUGUAAUACAAAUCCGCUAAUUAAUUAUUCCUUAGAAAACUUCAUAUUAUGAUUUUUUAGUUUAUAUUUAUUUAUUUAAUUAAUUAAUUUCUUUCUUCUUAAAGUGUAGUACCAAUCUUAGAAAACUUCCUUUUUAUGUGAAAAAUCCAGUAUUAUAUGCUUAGUCUUCAUAUUAGAAAAAACACAAUUUUUUUUACUAAAUUGUGUGUUAGUUUUUUAUUUACUUCCUUUAUUUUCUUUCUUCUUAAAAGGUGAUACUAAUGCCACAAAUUUAUUAUUUCAUAGAAAACUUCAUUAUUCUUCUUUUGAGAAAUAAAGAUGCUACCAAUGCAACUAAUUCAUGCACUCUUUAGAAAAAUUCUUCAUUUGCAAAAAAUCCACUAUUACAUAUUGAUUCUUGCAUAUUAUAACAAAGUGCAAUGUCUGUGUAAAUUGUGCGCAAAUUUUAGUUUUUUAUUUCUUUUUCAUUAUGAACAAUAUCAAAGUCACUAAUUCAUUUCUACUAAGGAAACUUCUUUUUGCACAAAAAAAUCACUACUAUAAGUUUAUCCUUGCAUAUUAUAAAAAGUGUAACCCCUGUGUAAAUCGUGUGCAAAUUUUGUCAUUAUUUUAUUUUAUUUUAUACGUUCCUUCUUUCUAAAGGGUAAUAUCAAUGCACUAACUAAUUCUUCCAUAGAAAGCUUCAUUUUUUUAAUUUUUUUAUUGGCACUAGUUCUUUUAUUGAACUAACACACGAUACAAAGAGAUGGAUAAACAUUGACCGAGUGGGUUCCCUGUAGCUUGUGAUCCAGAUGCCUUCACAUUUUAUCUUCAUUAUUAAUUGUCUUUUUUAUCUCUCGCAUGCACACAUGGGGUUUUAUGCAAAUUUGUAGGAGUACUAUACUAUAUGUGCGCAUACAAAGAAGUACAAAAAAAUUGAGUUGUAGAAUUUUGUUUCUUCAAAAUUCAAAAAAAAAAGACAUGAUCAUGGUGCCGAUGCUAACAAUAUUUGGUAUCUAGCAUGUGGUGUGGAAUAUGGUGUGGUUGUGCUUUAUCUACUCCGAGCGAGCUAGCUUAGCAUGCAUGCGAGCGGUAGGACAAAGCAACGUAAUAACAGCAGUUGCACAACCGGUAGCUCGCCGAGCCCACGCCUGGGCCGCGAUGUGGACGGAGAAAAAGUGACUGGCCCAAAUUUGUAAAUUCAGUCACCUGACCUCUAGGCACACCCUUCUUUUUGACUGGCAACAUAUUUGGAUCAGUCGAUUUGCUACUGGGCUGAACCUCAUUAAUAUACCGCCCAACCCUCCCCCACCCCCCACCCCACCCACCCCUCUCUCUCUUUGGUUUUCUAUGCUUUUCUGUUUGUAUGUAUUUCUCCUUUUGUUUUUGUUUUUCUUAAUUAGUUGGUUUCUAUUUUUUUAUUGGCAGUUUUCGGAUGUUGGGUAGGUGUACAUAUAUACACAGAAAUACUAUGCAAUAUGUGCGAAAAUUACACUAUUAUAAGAUUUUUUUUUCGUAUACUAUAGAAAGUGCAAUUAUAGUGCAAAGUUGUGUGCAAGUUUUUUUCUUCAGUUUUUCCACUAUCUUUCUUCUUAAAGAGUAAUACCAAUUUGUUGUUCCUUAGAAAAAUGUAUUGUUAUUUUGAUUUAUUUCUUGUUUUAUUUUCUUUCUUCUUUAAAGGUAAUACCAAUGCCACUUGUUAAUUCAUUCUUAGGCAACCUUUAAAAAAAUAAUAUUAUAUUCUUAUUCUUGCAUAUUUUAAAAAGUGCAAUUUGUGUGCAUAUUAUGUGCAAAAUUCAUUUUUUUUCCUUCCUUCUUAAAGGGUAAUACCAAUGCCACCAAUUUAUUAUUCCUUUGAAAAGCUCAAUAUUUCGAUUUUGUUUUAGUUUUCCUUUCAUUAUCGUUACUAAUGCCACUAAUUCAUUCUUUCAUGGAGAACUUCAGUAUUAUUAUUAGUUUGAUUUACUUUUAUUUCAUUUUCUUUCUUCUUUAAUGAUAACACCAAUGUCGCUAAUUCAUUCCUUCUUAGGAAACUUCUUUUGUUGUGAAAAUAUCACUAUUAUAAGCCUGUUCUUGCAUAUUAUUAAAUCCCGCAAUUUAUGUGUAAAUUGUGUGCAAAUUUUGUCAUUGUUUUUUUAUCAUUUUGUUUCUUCUUAAAGGGUAAUGCCAAUCCGACUAAUUCAUUAUUUAUUAGAAAAUUUUAUCAUUUUCAUUUUAUUUAGUUUUCAGUUCUUUUCUUUCUUCUGAAGGGGGCCACUGAUUCUUUAUUUCUUAGUAAACUUCAUUAUUUUUUUAUUGCUUGAUUUUUUUAUUUUCAUUCUUUCAAAUGAUAAUACCGAUGCCACUAAUUCAUUAUUCCUUCAUAAAGUUCAUUAUUUAGUUUUUUAGUUUUAUUUCAUUUUCUUUCUUCUAUAAGGGUAAUACCAAAUUUUCCCACUAAUUCAUUCCUACAUAGGAAUUUGCUUUUUGCACAAAUUUCACUAUUCUAUGCCUAUUAUUGCAUACAUUAUAAAAGAGUGCAGUUUCUAUGUAAAUUGUGUGCAAAUUUUGUCAUUGUUUUUUUAGUAUUUUUCAUUUUCUUUCUUCUUAAAGGGUAAUACCUAUGCCACUAAUUCAUUCUUUCUUAGAAAACUUUAUUAUUAUGAUUUUGUUUUAGUUUUUAUAUCAUGCAAAUUCAUUCUGUUUUAUAAAAAGUGAACACAAAUUUACGCAAAUUUGAUUCAAACUAGUCAAUCAAACUCAAUUCAAAUUAAUAGAAUAAACUAUAUUACAUAAAUUCAAAUGAAGUCUGAACUAAAAUUGCAUAAAAACUAGUCCUUGGCUAUGGGCUUCUCCCGAUUCCGCUCGUCGUUGACGUCCAUGUCGUUGCCAUUGUCGACAUUGCCCUCGCCCGCUCCGUCAUCGGACCCGGACCCGGACCUGGAACCAUUGUUGCAGCAAAGUCGAUAACCGGCGCACAGAACAGCCGGGCUCCGUCCAUCUUCCCCGAAUUGUACUCCUUAAAUAGUCGGCGCUCUUCCUUGACGCUUUGAAUACCAGUGACAGAGAUCGGCCAUGUACUCCUCGUCAUGGCGCUCCAUCUCAAGGUGCUCGUAGCCCCCCCCCCCCCUUCCUGCAGCUCGUGGGGGCAUCAGGGGUCGAUUGGGGCCAAAGCCGGCAUGUCGGGGCUGCCGAAGGGGAAGUUGAGCCACGUCCUGGAGGCACAUGACCUGAAUGUCGUACACCCACGCUGCUUGAGCCGCAAACUGGUAGGAGCUGAUCCAGAUGUAGUGAUGGGUUUCAUGGUCCCUAAUCUCGAUCACCAAUGAUCGUUCCAGCAUGUCGUGGUACCUCCUCUGCGGUACCGACGCCGGUGGCAGGCCGGGGAACCGAGAGGAGGACGCGCCACCACGGGAGGAUUCAUCACGACCUCGAGCUCGGAUGGUUGGUCGUGGCGGCAUGAAUCCGCAUUUCUAAUCGUCGUCUGGAUCUGGCCAUUUGGGCGGCGGGGGCGGUGCCAGAGUGGAUGCGGGGGCGUCCCGGCGAGGAAGCGGGGUACAAUUUAGGAUUGCAAAAUAGAUUGGGUUGCGCCGGAAUGAAAUGCGGCCGAGCGGUAGGGAAAGAGCUCGAUUUUACUCGCCGAAUGGGCGACUGAGUAAAUAUAAGGGUCAGGGCGGCGGACGAGUAUAAAUUUUACCCCUUUAACAUCGAUAAGGGAUCUGCGAGGUGCGAUUUAGCCGUUUAAAACCGGGUUUUUACUUGAGUAAAAUGCAUCAGUGGUCACUGAACUUAUCGUGUACGCCCACUUUGAUCAUUAUACUUAAGAAUACGGUUAAUACGGUCACUAAAUACGAGUUGCGAUGAUUAUACGGUCACUGUCUUUUCAUAUAGCUUCGUAUUUUAUUGAGUUGACCGGUCAAACAGUUUGAAUGAUGCUUGUCUGUGAGUGGAAGAAACAAGUAGAGGCAAAAUAAAAUAGUGACAUAGUGUGGAAUCAAACCCCAAACACAGCGCUAGGAUGUCAGCAAGCUAGCCCGCUGUGGUCACCUCUCCUUGUGUCUAAACUGGAGAAAGGCAUCCUGCUGUAACGUUAUGCAUUAACGUGACAGCCAUGACACGUCGUUUGUUGCUUGCUGUGCUUGAGCUUGUACUAGAUGACCCGUUGCGUCGUUUGUUGCUUGCUGUGCUUGAGCUUGUACUAGAUGACCCGUUGCGUCGUUUGUUGCUUGCUGUGCUUGAGCUUGUACUAGAUGACCCGUUGCGCCAAUGGCGCAAAGGCCGAGAGGAAUGCAAGUAUUGAAAGAGUGUACAUAAAUAUAUUUAGGGACUGAUUGGAACACAUGGAUUAUUCAUGAUACAUAGUGUUAUAAGAAGUUUACGAUAGAUUAUUUACAAUGCUAUUAGGAAGGAAGGUAGAUAGGCAGAGAUACAUAUUGUGUUCACUAAUUUAGUCUCAGAUGAGUAAAGUAAAUGAAUGUAUGUUCAUAGCGAAGGUACUAAAAGGACGAACCACAGUGGGCAAAAGCAAAGAUGCAACAUAGAUAAAUAACAUUGUCUCAACACAUCAACAUGGAUUUCAUAAUUAUACAUGACCAUAGCACAGUUCAAAAAGGGGGGGGGGGGAAUCUAAGGCGGAGCUAUAAACAAAGAGCUUCGCAUCUUAUUCAGCCAACAUAGGAGAAUAAACACAACAGCCACAAGGCCAAGUCGUAAUGGUGAAGCUAUACAUAUACAGCUUCACAUGGCAUCAGACAUCUUAGCAGGCUGAAUACGAUGCUCAUGGGGAUCGGACAUAGUGAUCAUAGUCGUCGUCCACGUCUUGACGACAAUCAUCAGCUGAAUCUUCAUCAGAAUGCCCACUAUAGAAUGGAUCAGGCACUUCAUCAUCUGAGUACAUGCCUUUUUCCUCUAGGAACUGAGAUGUUGUGGCUGAAGUGUUUUGAAGUGCGACCACUACAUCGUGAAUCUCCAUGAGAGCCUGCUUCAGAUUAGAAACAGACAUUGAGGCAGCAGGGUCCGAGGCUAAUGCCAGCAAGGCCAUGAAUUUUGUUUGAUGUAGCACACACUUCUUCCACAUAGUUGCAUGCUUCUUUAGUUAUCUUGUAGCUUAUUUACAUUGUUUUUAACAAGCAAGACACAUAGGUAGAGAUGCAUCAUAUAGACACCUUUGAAUUUGCUAUAUAUAAUUGGUAGUGUCAUGAUGAAUAUGUAGUAGUACCAAUACAACUGAGGGGAUACAUCAAUAUUAAUAAGUCCUUGAUUACAUUUAGUAUACAUGGCAACGGAAGGAUGCGUAUAACAUAGAUGCUUACUAUAGUCUAAGGCCUAUGCAUGUCUUAAUCUUCAGAGCAAGAACAAAAGGGUUAAGAAAUCACUGAAACUAAAUCUGGACUACGCUGCAGAUGAAACAAUGGUACUUUAGUGGUCACGUAGGCAUGGCAGUUAGGUUAGAUGCAGCAAAGGUAAUUAGAAACGGUCUUUCAUUCUUUCUAGGCGUUGUUCUACUUACCAUAAACAAAAAGGUUGGAAAUAUAGAUUGAUUACAUAGGCAAGCAGUGAGCUGGCGCUGACGGGUACCCUCCUUAGCUACAGCUGCAAUGACCACAAAGUGGGGCUUCAUGAGGGCAAAUGUUCUCCUUAAAACUCGGUACCAAAGCUCAAGGAAGACUGCUUUGCACCCCUGUCAGCACCAUCUGAGGUGGUGGAUCUGUAAGAGAAUCAACAAUAUGACAGGAAAUGCUAUCAAUUGCAAGAUCAAUAUAUGUCUUAAUUUGCUCAUGAUCUAAUAGAGUAAUCAAAUAAAAUCCCAGGUAACCACCUCGUACAGAAAACAAAGGGCAUUUAAAUCCUGAAACCUGAAGAUAUUAGAUAUACAUGGUGUUCUGCCACAUAUACCAUGAAGGAAAAUAAUAGCACAAAAGUAGAAGUUAUAUUCUAAUGCAAUACAUGUACUAUAUGUAUCCUGGAAAUAUAAACAGAAAAACAACAUGACUGAGAAAUAUACACCGUGCACGUUCAGAUAUUCAUGCUUAAAGGAAGUGCAAUGUAUACUGUGGAAUCACACAACCUAAAUCCAUCUUCGUCUAGAAGACUGCAUCAUAACCAUACAUCAAGAAAUUAAUGGAAAAGGGGGUUUGCCCGGACGACGAAAAAUUGUGUGACAGGCGGCAUGGAGUUUUUAUAUUUCCAAGCCAAAAUAUAUUACAAACAAAAACAUUAGAGACAAUCGCCAUGAAGAACUAAGCAUCUAUAUGGAGUGGGGUGAGAGAUGGACCCUUCAACAUUUCAUUGCCCACCGUUAUCCCUAAAUGACAUGCAUUCAUUCUUCAUCCUGGAAGCACCGAUGCUGCACCAAGUUGUCAAACGUCAAUGAUAAAUCAAAUACAUAUUUAUAAAUAAGACUGUUUAGAUAUGUUGAUCCGGCAAAAUAAUUAAAUGGGUGGUCAUUAUUAGGAAUGCUUCUUGGGGCCUGCUAAUGAAUGGAAAGCUAUAGUACAUAGGAGUCUAAAUGCUACAAAAGAUUCUUUCUCUUGGAACAUCAGAUUGCCACAAAUGUAUACUUUUUUCCUUCAGCCUGCUUAUGUUCUGGUAUUCAUGACAAGCAAGUGACCUGCAUUUUCACCCCUAGUGUGGUACCAUUUUUUAUCAGCUGUAUUAAAAAUGAACUAUGUGGUUAGGCUCAUGAUUGCCAAGAACAAUUACUACGUUGCUAGUGUGGCUAUCGACCUAUUACAGACCAAACUAUACUUUAGUUGUUUCUGUUUAUCUAGGAACUUCAGGUAUUGCAUUUGCAACAGACAGGUAUUAAUAACCACAUAAGAUUGACAAACAAAUAUAGUAUCUUGGCUGCAUCAUACAUUUUAAAGGUUAGGUACCUAGCAGCGUUCUAGUGGGGAGUGCUGAUUUUGAUCCAUUAUCAGGUGAUUCAAGAGAUUCCUAAUGAACCAAGACCAUACAGUUUGAGACCAACAAAGCAGUACAAAAGAACAAACAGAAGGUACCUCUUGUGGUAAUGUCUUGGCAUGUCGUCGAUUGGUAGCACUGGAGUUCGAACAAUUCCAUCUCUCUGCAUAAUUGAAUACAUCCUUUCAGCUGAACUGAGCAUGUUUCAGAAGCCCAGGAUGCUGUCACCAAGAGCAUCCUUUUGCAGGUCACGCCAUCGACGAAAUAUCAAUAUUCCUUCCUCUUUCAAUGUAUCGUCAGGUAACCUAUCUUAUUUCCCCAAACUAAGAUUGUCUGACUGCCUUGCUAUCGCCUACUAAAGGCACUGUUAUGUGGAUUUAAACGAACUGCCUGCAGUACAUAAAAGUUAUAUCAACUCACAUAUAAAAAAGGUUAAAUAUCUAUUUCAUGAAUACAUUAAUAUUUCCCUGAAGUAAAAAACCUAAAUAACCAGUUCUAAGUUUAGCUGAAACUUCGACUGAGUUACUGAGUCACUCAUUGUUCUGUUCAUAGCUUUUAAACCGCUUAACCGAUCUCAGCAAAUAAACUAUUUUAAGAUACCCACAGAGAAUUUCCUACAACUUUAUUUAAGGUGAUUGGGACUAAAACUGUCUCUAACUUGGUUGAAUAUAGGUAAAUAGAUCUCACAGCCUCGCUAUUAUUAAACAGUAGCACCUAUUCUGGCCUAACUCCUAAACUACCAAUCAAAUUUCAGUGAAACCAGCACCAUUGGAAACAUAAAAACAAGAGCAACAACUGUUGUUUUAGGAGUACAUUGAAAUUCCGCACAGAUUAUGCCCAUAAUUUGAAAGAAACUUAGUGCUAAAAUAUACUACCUAGCAGCUACGAAUCUGAAUAUAAUUCUGCCUUAUCUCAGCACCUGCUUGUGUUUGCUACAGGAGAAAAGAAACAAAAUACGGACAUCAUCUGCAGCUUGCUGUGAGCAGAUGCCAACUCCAACGGGGCUGAACCCGGGCUUCGUCUUCCUCCUUGCUAGUCUGUGAUGCAAGCUUACAUAGGCAAGCAUCUAAGUGUUACAAAUAUACUUGUGUAUUUCUACAGGGAGGCAGACCUAAAGUUUUUUUAGACAUGCACAUAAUUAAGGGAGGUUUAUGGCUGAUUCAGUUCAAGCAAGUCGCCUUUUUCCAUACUUGUUUAGAAGUGUAAAUACUUGUUUAAACGUUACUACAAUCCUCAGGGGAAAUCAGCUAUGCAGACCAAAAAGAUGACAAAUUUAGAAGUUUGUAGUUAUUACCAAAGCAAUCACCAGAAAGAUCAAUUUGUAUGUAUUGACAAAUUUAGAAGUGUGUAGUUAUCCACUUAUCCUUACUCGGAUGUACUGACAAGAACAACUGAAAGGCAUCGCUAUCCCGUGAGAACCAAUCAGUGUGCUUUGUAUGAUAAAAAUGAAAGACUGCAACUUUCAUGACUAAUGUCUGAUAUGACAAAAACCAGUCUGGAAUUUGGUUGUUAGUGGGCUCCCCUGUUUUUUUUUGUCGACCUCAGCCACGGAUCAGUCCCCACGACACACCCCAUGGCACAGAGAUGAUACCUGCAUAUGGCAAAGCGAACGAAUCAGCACAUGGCAUAGGCUAGUAGCUGCAAAAGCCAAUUGCUAAAGGAACCCACAUUGGGCUCCCCUGAUGUGCAGCUUCACCACCUGGUGCAGUCCAUUACUGAUGUUUGCCGCAUUUCUUAUAGAAGCAUCUUGGAUGAAAAAUCCACUGGUUGGAGCGCAUCUACAAAGGGAAACACAAUAAUAAAAUAACCAUGAGUGGAUGGUGUGGGAUAGUUCUAGUUUCUUGAUAAAACUAAGAUAACGGUGAUGGAAUCAUACCUCUUAUUCUGCUAUGAUAACAUAUAUGCUAGAUCAGUUGUUAGAAUCCACGCGUAAAACAGCAUGGAAGUUUCUUCAAUAUGCAAGUACUUGGUUUGGCCUGGUACAGAAAAGUCUUUCGAUUUGUGUCGUGCUCUUGAGAAAAGACAGAAUAUGAUUAAGCAUAUAACAAAGUCAUUUGUAUUCAUUUUUGUGUGGACAAGUACUCUAUUUAUUCACUGACUCGAAAAAUAGGACAGUAUGCUUCUCGACAUUUCCUUGUGUAAAGCAAAACUAACCAAAUUCUCUUUUUUACUUCCUUAAUUGACUACAAAUUCAAAUAGUACAUUUAAAAUGUUGUUGAACCAUUUCCUUUUGGCAGGCGUAUGCUGAAAAAAAAAGUAUUCGAAUGUAUAUUUUUUGUGCACACUAAUCACCACUCAGAAAAUAUGUUAAAAAGGCCCAUAUAAAUUAGGCAAAUUGGGACAUGGUACACCAAGUAACUGCCCAGUUCUUGCACAUCCGAAUAGAACAAAAAAAAUCCUCCACCACCAGAGGAACCGAACCUAUGAAUGUAUUAACAAAGAAUAGGUACACAUCAGAUUGACCUCAAACUUUAUCUCAAAGCAAACACCACAUAAAACGCAAUACAACAUGGAGGCAUCGUCCAAUGGUCACUCAUGGCAUGAUCACGUCUACAGAAUUCCACAUCUGAACAGCAGAAAAAAACAUCCACAUCCAGAAAGCCCAAAUCUAUGAAUGAAGUCACACUGAAUUAUAGAUCAGAUCAACCUCAAACUUUGUCUCACAGCCUAAAGCACAUUAAAACAUGGAUGCAUCAUCCAGGCAAGCCAUCUGAUGGAACAUGGGAAGACCUCCACAUCCAACAGAGUAAUUUGCUAUGAGGAAAGGGGAUUGAGCUGACCUGGGUCAUGGGUGCAGAGGGACUGAGAAGGUGCCGAUAACCUGUUGAUCCUGCAAGAUGUGUGGGAAUCCCACAAGAAUCAAAUGCCUCAGGGAUCUCCUCCCGCUGGAUCCAGUACCAGCAAAUCCCUGAGAUGAUGAACACCAUAGGGAUAGUAGGCAAAGGGAAAUGCAUAACAUAUUAAGCGGCCGGUGUUACAUGUUUACAAACGGAUUGAAGAACAGGGAAAUACAACGAUGGCGCUAUAUCUCAGCAGCGCGUGACGUAGUAGUGUCGCCGCCGGCGACGGCCUCCCUUGUUUCCAUCAGGUCGUCGAUAAGCCUGCGCAGAUCACAGGACGACCCGCCUUCCGACACGGCCGCGCGAGCCUUCACUGCGAGCCCCUGCACUCGGCCCCUCGCCGUCUCCCCCGUUCCGCCUGGUUCCAAGAACCUCGCCACCGCCCAACGUCACCGCCUUGGCCGGCACCAUCUCCUUCUCCUCCUUCGUGCUCCGCGCUCUGCCCCACACCUUCUCGCCGAUCUUGGGGACGUCGGUGACCAGCCUCUCCUCGAUGAACCGGUCGAACACCAGCGGCCAUGUCUGCAUCGGCGCGCCGGCCGCCGCCGCCGCCUCCAGCAGCGAGCUCGACCCACAGUGCGCCAGGAACGCCCCCACUGCCAGAUGAGCCAGGAUCGCGGUCUUCGGGGCCCACGCCCGUCCCACCCCGCCGUUGGGAAUAAAGCAAUAGGAGGGGGGAGUGGACGUAGGCGGGGACCGAACGGUGGAGAUCCAGUGGCUGCAGAUGCGUCGAGGACUUGGCGCUUGGAUGGAUGACGAGGAUGCCGAUGACGGACGAUCUCAAGGCCAGCCAAGGGCUCUGGCGUCAGCCAUGGCGGCCCGGACACCGAGGACAAGGGCGCUCUCUUCCCCCACCACCACUUUUCAUCGGCGGCCAGAUCCAGAAUCACGGCACGCGGCGCGUGACGCCGGCGACCGGCGCCCGACCCGGCUGGAUCGAGAACGUAGUGGCGCCCCGCGGCUGCACAUCAAGCGCCGGGGAGAGAAGGCGGCGGUGCCAGAGCAGGGGAGACGGGACAGCGUGGAGAGAGAAGAAGAAGGGCUCGAGGACGGAGAGGAUUGGAAGUGCGGUGGAUUUCGGGAAGAGGAUUGGUCUGGCUCUCGUCUCAGGAUUGGUCCUGGCUUUCCAUCCCACGUCCCAUGAUCGCUGCAUCCCACCUCUCUUUUCCAGCCUAACACUCGCACACACGCACAUAGUGACUGAAACGCCGGGCCCGCUGCAUAUUGGCCCACACGUCAUCAACAUUAAACACGAACCAGCAGCCCACAGCCGAUGUCGUGUGAGCGACAAGCGCUCCAGUCCAUCGCUCCUUUUACUACAGAAGACGGUCUGUAUUUCUCACACGGACGACGCACGCCCGGCACACUGCGCCGCUGGUCCCACGCAUUUGCCUGGCCCAGGCGUCAUCCACCAAAACCCAAAUCCAUGGCGUGAGGUAAGACCAAUGGCAGGAUCUUUGACAGACAGCUGAAAAGUACUGAUAACUAUACACGGACGCGCAUUGGAUGAACCAGAUUGAACGCGCGAAGCAAUUGCUCUGGUUAGGCGGGUACUUUAAGAGGGUUUAUAUGUUCAAAUGGGUGCGUGCAUAUUUGUGGUUGUGUGCGUAUGCAUAUAUUGUACGUGCUUGUGAUAUCUGCGUAUUAUUAUCAUCUCAUCAAUACAUAAUUCAUUCUCCAGACCAAUUACUCUGAUGCAUCUCUCAACUCUCAAGCUCUUUUCAUUUACCCUGUUAGUCUGUUAAUCAAGCUGCACGUUCCGGCUGCUAGUCACUAAUAUUUCUUCAGUUUCGUCACAGAUUGGAGAGCAUGUAGCGUGUGUCGGCAUUUUGUUAGUAGAUUUUUGGCCCAAAGCCCAACUAAAAUUCUAAAAUUCUCUUGGCACAUUCAUGCACACAUAUGAAUGAAGUGAGUGAGGCUAAAGUUUAGUCUCACCCCGAAAGUUGAGGGAAAGUUGCACCUCUUUAUAAGGUGAGCUCUUGACCACUUGUAUGAGCAUGAGAAGAGAAGACCUACACGCACGCUCCUCCUCCCUCGUCACGACGUGCCGCGCCGCGCCGUGGUUGCGGGAUUGAGCCGAGGGCAGAGCUAUGCACGUUGUCUAUAUUUUUGCUGCUCGGGAAAAAAUAAUGAGUCAUUAACUAAUAAUUAAAUUAACAGGCGCGUUAAUUAGUGAACCUUUCCGAUUCUUUUGGAUCGUGACGACUCGGACGUGGGGUUUACUCCCACGACCUGCCCGGCCCGCACUAUGUAGUCAGGCGGACGUCUACCCUAGCCGCCACCGCUUCGUAUGGUUUCUCACCACCGUUCCAGAUCGUUAUGCUGCCAAGCAAGUCUUCUCCAUCCCUCCUUUUGGCGUGCACCAGGAGAAGGGACAGCAGGCCUCCGGAACCCCGCCUUUCGUGAUCCUGGGAGAGGGGCGAUCAGAUUUUUGAGGAGCGCACUCGCGCGACUGCUGGCAGCGACGACUUCUUCCCCGACCUCGGCAACCUCAUCCUCGACGACAUGGGCGACAACGUCAACGCCGGCGGUGCUGCUCCCGCUACACCGUAUGUGAUUCUAUCCUUCCUGUUCGAAAUCGUGGUAGAAUUCAUGUUUCUAGUAUGUGCCCUAAAUGUGAUCUGUUCAUCUGCUAUGGUAGUUCGCAUGAUUAAUUUAAUCUCUACUACUGUAGUCAUGAUUUAUCUUCUAAUUAUUCGAAUUAAAUCUCGUAGUAACUUGCUCAUAUUUCCAACAGCGUGAACCGCCAGCCUUGUACACAUGCAUGGCCUCGUUUUUAUUUCUUGCAUAUAGCUAGCUCGCCGCUAUGUAAGCGUUGGUGGGAUGGCACGAAACCAAGGUAGACAGGGCUGCUUAGUAUGCAAUUGGAAAGUACCUGUUGAAUGGCGCAGCCGACAGUUCGAUCAUGAGGUACACUAGGAUGUUUGGGCUGACUUGAAACAAUCUCAAUAUAAGAGAAAAAAUACCACAGAACUUGAACGUAGCGGCAAAAAAUUCUCUGUAACACUUAGUGUGUGUUGCAUCUACACAACGUUUCCAUGCAUAUCUUUUGUUUAAAAUUGCUAAAAUUCAGCUAAAAUUUAUUUUUGCUAAAAUUGCCGCAUACUGUGUGUGCACUGUGUGCAUGCACGCUAACGUACAAUAAGAAAUUGUGAUGGUUAGUAUAAGUGCACAAUGUUUGAGGUUCGAAUCCCCACCGCGUCACUAUUUUAUUUUGCCUGCGUCGGUACAGAGGAAAAAAAAAAGCUGAGGAGGCAUCAUUCAAACUGUUUGACUAGUCAACUCAACAAAAUACGAAGUUAUACGAUGUGACAGUGACCGUAUAAUCAUCACAACUCGUAUUUAGUGACCGUAUUAACCGUAUUCUUAAGUAUAGUGAUCAAAGUGAACGUACACGACAAGUCCAGUGACCACCAAUGCAUUUUACUCUUUUUACUUCUCUACCAUCUUUCAAGGGGUCGGUUAUAGAUGUUGUAAGAGUCAUUUGUAGUACUUCACUUGCUUUCAACAAAAAUUAUGCCUGGCAUUUCUCAUAUUAGAUUCUCAUCAUGCUUUCAUUUUCAGGGGCUAGGUUAUCAUCUUCGGUCAAACUGAGAAGUUGACCACUCUAGUUGUGCUUUAAGGCAGACAGCGACGAACCAAUGAAUUUGCUUACAAGGUACUCCUACCGCUGAUAAGCCUAUUUUCAAGUACGUGGGAGAUAGUGACAACUUCAAUAGUCAUUCUUGUAACUUUAUAAGAGGGACGUGUGUUGCAUAUGUACACGUUCACUAUGCCUGUGUCUAUGGUACAAACAAGUCAAAAGUGCUUAACCAAUGGAAUUCAAUCGAAGACUGGCCCUAAAACGGCUCGCGUUAAACUGAAUUCAGAGGACGAAACACCCCAAAAUGUGGAAACAGAAUAUUAUCCUAGCAAAUCAAAUUAAGGCGAUCCAAUCACCGCACAUCAAUCAUCCGGCCACCAUCCCUCAACCGCAAUAGAGGGCCAGUUCUUUUCGGCGAUUCUUCCAGAAUCGUCAACCUCCCCAGCUUCUUCCAGAAUCACCAUUCUAUAUAUUUUUUACAAUCCUAGAUAAUUAGACCUUAACUAGAUAGGAUUGUAAAAAAUAUAUAAAGUGGCGAUUCUAAAAGAAGCUAGGGAGGAGGGCGAUUCUGGGAGAAUCGUCCAAAAAAACUGGCCCAGACACUUUUAUCAAAAAAAACCGCAAUAGACACUUCAGUUGUCACAUGUCCCAGCCGUUGUACGGUACUCAGAGGAGUACUAUCGGCGUGGUGUCCAACCAAUUUGAACUGUGGCUGAUGGGGUGCUUUAUUGUCGGCAUUAACUUUGUUGCACAGUUUAAUGGACUGAUGAUAGUAUAGAUGAGGAGGACAACAAGAACAUGUUGUUCAACCUCGGCCGUCACACCUAAGCACGUAUGGGCAUCUUUAACCCCGGGACCACCGGGACAAUUGGUGCUACCGAUGCACUAGACCUCGUUGCACGUUAAAAAAUGUUUGAAAAAUCCAAAAAAAAUUAGUGCAUUGUCACAAUGUCAACUUACAUUGUAAAAAAAUCAAAUUAAAAUUCAAAACAUUUCACGAGAUACAAAAAUGACAAAUUUGACAUCAGUGUGCUAAUGGACCAAAACCGAGACCCAACUUGUGUUAUGUACUAUUCAGUGUCAAAUUUGUCAUUUUUGUACCUGGAGCAGUGUUUUGAAUUUUUGCGACAACAUAUAUUGAUGUUGUGUCAAUGCACUAAUAUUUUUUCUAAUUUUUUGGAAUAUUUUUUAAUGUGCAACGGGGACCGGUAGCACAAAUUACCCCGGUGCACGAGAUACAUCCCCCCUUCAACCCCAACCCCUAACUAUCUACUAAUGUCUGAUCCUAUUUUUUUAAGCUCACGACACUUAUAAGAUUCAUCCAUAAAUUUAAGGGUUGGACGUGCUUUGUUGUGCCAUUGGUGUUGUUGUAUUUUCAUUAAAAAAAAGUACUCUCUUUGUUUCAAAAUAUAAGGUGUAUUAGUUUUUUAAAAAGUCAAACAUAUUUAAGUUUGACCAAACUUAUAGACAAAUAUAUCAAUAUCCAUAAUAUCAAACCAGUAUCAUUAGAUUUAUCAUGAAAUGAAUUUUCAUAUUUUACUUAUUUGGUAUUAUGGAUGUCGAUAUUUUUGGCUCUUAAGUUGAUCAAAGUUAAAAAAAACUGACUUUUCAAAAAAUAACACACCAUAUAUUUGGUAAACAAACGGAGUAUUUGAUUUGGCGAGUUGGGGAGAUGAUAGAGUGUUUUUUAUUUUUAUUCAUAAUGCAGUGUUUUGGUCACUAGUAGAAAAAGGACCUAAUGUGAGACACAUUAGUGUCGGUUUGAUUUUAGCCCGGUACUAAUGGUACCAUUAGUGCCGGUUCAAACGGCUAUGCAUUAAUGCCGGUUCGUGUUGAACCUUUAGUACCGGUUCGUGCCACAAACCGGUACUAAAGGGGUGAUGGCAGGCUGGCGUCAGGCCGGGGCCCCACGAUCACCUUUAGUACCGGUUCGUGUCACAAACCGGUACUAAAGGGCUAACCUUUAGUACCGGUUUGUGCCACGAAUCGGUACUAAAGGGGUCUGACCUAUAGUACCGGUUUGUGACACAAACCGGCACUAUANNNNNNNNNNNNNNNNNNNNNNNNNNNNNNNNNNNNNNNNNNNNNNNNNNNNNNNNNNNNNNNNNNNNNNNNNNNNNNNNNNNNNNNNNNNNNNNNNNNNNNNNNNNNNNNNNNNNNNNNNNNNNNNNNNNNNNNNNNNNNNNNNNNNNNNNNNNNNNNNNNNNNNNNNNNNNNNNNNNNNNNNNNNNNNNNNNNNNNNNNNNNNNNNNNNNNNNNNNNNNNNNNNNNNNNNNNNNNNNNNNNNNNNNNNNNNNNNNNNUUCAGUUCUGAAAAUGAUAAAAACUUCAAAAAAUAAAAUCUUUCAAGAGGUAGUUAUAUUACUACAUCUACUAGUUAGGAAAAUUUGAAAACUUAAAUUUGGACAUGUUUUGCAAAAAGUGUUGGCAAAAUGUAAAACGGCUAUAACUUUUGCAUACGAUGUCGGAAAAAAAUGUAUAAUAUAUCAAAAAAAAUUAGCACGAAAAUCCACAUCCGAUGGAGACCGCCUACGGUCUGUUUGCAAUUUUUUAGAAUCCUCAAAUUCCAAAACGAAAAAAAGAUAUGGUCAAAUUUCAGUUUUUUUCAAUGUUAGGGAUAUCGCUUAUCGGGAACUUAUCGGUCGACCCAUGAUAAGGGAUAAAUCGGCCAGUUUAUCGGCAUAUCGACCAAUUUAUCGCCAUAUCGGCUGAUUUAUCGGGCCAUUUAUCUUAUCAGUCAGACAACGGUAAGUGAUAAAUCGGCCGAUUUAUCGAAAUAUCAGAAGAUAUCUUGAACAUUGUUUUUUUAAAAAAAAUUGGUUAAAUCUGGUCAAACUACUUAUUCAAGAAGUAUUAAUGUUACUACAUAAUUAUUCAAGAAUAUUGGUGUUACUAAAUAAUUAUUUCAAUUUUCUAAAUUUUGGUCAAAUCUGGUCAAACUAUGGUCAAACUAUGGUCAAACUAUGGUCAAACUUAUUCAAGAAAUAUUAGUGUUACUAAAUAAUUACUGUUUUUUAGAAUAAUAGUUUCAAACUCAAACGGUGAAACGUGUGACCUAAUGCUCAAGCUAAACUGCUGAGGGUUAAUAGGAUUGACAGCUUACAUUUGUCAGGAAAACAACAAGUGCAGACUUGGAAUGUAGGGGGAAUAGAACUCCGAAGUUAAGUGUGCUCAGGCUGGGGGAGUGAGAGGAUGGGUGACCGGCCAGGAAGUCAGGCGAUUUGGAAUGGGUGAUCCACACUUGAGCAGUUAAGAGAGGUGAUUAGAGACUAAAUCAUCAAAUAAUUCAGAAAAAUUAAAAAUCGAAAAAAAAUCAGAUUUUUUUUCUAAAAUUUUCAAAAAAAAGUUCAAAAAAAAACCUUUAGUACCGGAUGGUAACACCAACCGGUACUAAAGGACCCCCAUACCAGGGCGCGAGCUCACGCCACGUGGUGGCACUUUAGCGCCGGUUCGUACCGAACCGGUACUAAAGGGGGGGGGGCUUUAGUGCCCACCCUUUAGUGCCGGUUAUGGAACCGGCACUAAAGGCCCUUACGAACCGGCGCUAAAACUCCGUUUUCUACUAGUGGGUGGGCUAUCAUCGUGUGAUUUUGAGUUAUCUAUUAAUCAACGCAUAGUUAUGUGCGGAAAUUUUCUAGGUCGGUGGCCGCAUGUAUUAUAUUGGUGCGACAGUAUAUAUGUUGGCGCUUGUUUUUCUAGGUCAUGAGAGGAUGCAUGGGAUUGAUAUGUUUUUAUAUGUCGGUUGUGUAGGGUUUCGUAGUAAUUUCAAAAAAAUUCCUACGCACACGCAAGAUCAUGGUGAUGCAUAACAACGAGAGGGGAGAGUGUUGUCUACGUACCCACGCAGACCGACUGCGGAAGCGUUGACACAACGUAGAGGAAGUAGUCGUACGUCUUCACGAUCCAACCGAUCAAGCACCGAAACUACGGCACCUCCGAGUUCGAGCACAUGUUCAGCUCGAUGACGAUCCCCAGACUCCGAUCCAGCAAAGUGUCGGGGAAGAGUUCCGUCAGCACGACGGCGUGGUGACGAUCUUGAUGUACUACAGCAGCAGGGCUUCGCCUAAACUCCGCUACAGUAUUAUCGAGGAAUAUGGUGGCUGGGGGCACCGCACACGGCUAAGGAAUAGAUCACGUGGAUCAACAUGUGUGUUUCUGGGGUGCCUCUGCCUCAGUAUAUAAAGGAUUAGAGUGGGGGAGGCUGGCCGGCCACAGGAGGCGCGCCAGGAGAGUCCUACUCCCUCUAGGAGUAGGAUCCCCCCCAAUCCUAGUUGGAAUAGGACUCCUUGAGGGGGGAAAGAGAGAGAGGGGGCCGGCCACCUCUCCUAGUCCUAAUAGGACAAGGGAAAGGGGGGAGGCGCACAGCCACCUUGGGCUGCCCCUUUCUCCUUUCCACUAAAUCCCACUAAGGCCCAUAUAGCUCCCGGGGGGGUCCGAUAACCUCCCGAUACUCCGGUAAAAUCCCGAUUUCACCCGGAACACUUCCGAGAUCCAAACAUAGGCUUCCAAUAUAUCAAUCUUUACGUCUCGACCAUUUCGAGACUCCUCGUCAUGUCCGUGAUCACAUCCGGGACUCCGAACAACCUUCGGUACAUCAAAAUGCAUAAACUCAUAAUAUAACUGUCAUCGUAACCUUAAGCGUGCGGACCCUACGGGUUCGAGAACAAUGUAGACAUGACAGAGACACAUCUCCGGUCAAUAACCAAUAGCGGGACAUGGAUGCCCAUAUUGGCUCCUACAUAUUCUACGAAGAUCUUUAUCGGUCAGACCGCAUAACAACAUACGUUGUUCCCUUUGUCAUCGGUAUGUUACUUGCCCGAGAUUCGAUCGUCGGUAUCCAAUACCUAGUUCAAUCUCGUUACCGGCAAGUCUCUUUACUCGCUCCGUAAUACAUCAUCUCACAACUAACAUAUUAGUUGUAAUGCUUGCAAGGCUUAUGUGAUGUGCUUUACCGAGAGGGCCCAGAGAUACCUCUCCGACAAUCGGAGUGACAAAUCGUAAUCUCAAAAUACGCCAACCCAACAUGUACCUUUGGAGACACCUGUAGUACUCCUUUAUAAUCACCCAGUUACGUUGUGACGUUUGGUAGUACCCAAAGUGUUCCUCCGGUAAACGGGAGUUGCAUAAUCUCAUAGUUAUAGGAACAUGUAUAAGUCAUGAAGAAAGCAAUAGCAACAUACUAAACGAUCGGGUGCUAAGCUAAUGGAAUGGGUCAUGUCAAUCAGAUCAUUCAACUAAUGAUGUGACCUCGUUAAUCAAAUAACAACACUUUGUUCAUGGUCAGGAAACAUAACCAUCUUUGAUUAACGAGCUAGUCAAGUAGAGGCAUACUAGUGACACUAAGUUUGUCUAUGUAUUCACACAUGUAUUAUGUUUCCGGUUAAUACAAUUCUAGCAUGAAUAAUAAGCAUUUAUCAUGAUAUAAGGAAAUAAAUAAUAACUUUAUUAUUGCCUCUAGGGCAUAUUUCCUUCAGUCUCCCACUUGCACUAGAGUCAAUAAUCUAGAUUACACUGUAAUGAUUCUAACACCCAUGGAGCCUUGGUGCUGAUCAUGUUUUGCUCGUGGAAGAGGCUUAGUCAACGGGUCUGCAACAUUCAGAUUCGUAUGUAUCUUGCAAAUCUCUAUGUCUCCCACCUGGACUAGAUCCCGGAUGGAGUUGAAGCGUCUCUUGAUGUGCUUGGUCCUUUUGUGAAAUCUGAAUUCCUUCGCCAAGGCAAUUGCACCAGUAUUGUCACAAAAGAUUUUCAUUGGACCCGAUGCACUAGGUAUGACACCUAGAUCGGAUAUGAACUCCUUCAUCCAGACUCCUUCGUUCGCUGCUUCCGAAGCAGCUAUGUACUCCGCUUCACAUGUAGAUCCCGCUACGACGCUUUGUUUAGAACUGCACCAACUGACAGCUCCACCGUUUAAUGUAAACACGUAUCUGGUUUGCGAUUUAGAAUCGUCCGGAUCAGUGUCAAAGCUUGCACCAACGUAACCUUUUACGGUGAGCUCUUUGUCACCUCCAUAUACGAGAAACAUAUCCUUAGUCCUUUUCAGGUAUUUCAGGAUGUUCUUGACCGCUGUCCAGUGAUCCACUCCUAGAUUACUUUGGUACCUCCCUGCUAAACUUAUAGCAAGGCACACAUCAGGUCUGGUACACAGCAUUGCAUACAUGAUAGAGCCUAUGGCUGAAGCAUAGGGAACAUCUUUCAUUUUCUCUCUAUCUUCUGCAGUGGUCGGGCAUUGAGUCUUACUCAACUUCACACCUUGUAACACAGGCAAGAACCCUUUCUUUGCUUGAUCCAUUUUGAACUUCUUCAAAACUUUGUCAAGGUAUGUGCUUUGUGAAAGUCCAAUUAAGCGUCUUGAUCUAUCUCUGUAGAUCUUAAUGCCUAAUAUGUAAGCAGCUUCACCGAGGUCUUUCAUUGAAAAACUCUUAUUCAAGUAUCCCUUUAUGCUAUCCAGAAAUUCUAUAUCAUUUCCAAUUAGUAAUAUGUCAUCCACAUAUAAUAUCAGAAAUGCUACAGAGCUCCCACUCACUUUCUUGUAAAUACAGGCUUCUCCGAAAGUCUAUAUAAAACCAAAUGCUUUGAUCAUACUAUCAAAGUGUUUAUUCCAACUCCGAGAUGCUUGCACCAGUCCAUAAAUGGAUCGCUGGAGCUUGCACACUUUGUUAGCUCCCUUUGGAUCGACAAAACCUUCCGGUUGCAUCAUAUACAGCUCUUCUUCCAGAAAUCCAUUCAGGAAUGCAGUUUUGACAUCCAUCUGCCAAAUUUCAUAAUCAUAAAAUGCGGCAAUCGCUAACAUGAUUCGGACAGACUUAAGCAUCGCUACAGGUGAGAAAGUCUCAUCGUAGUCAACCCCUUGAACUUGUCGAAAACCUUUCGCGACAAGUCGAGCUUUGUAGACAGUAACAUUACCAUCAGCGUCAGUCUUCUUCUUGAAGAUCCAUUUAUUCUCAAUUGCUUGCCGAUCAUCGGGCAAGUCAACCAAAGUCCAUACUUUGUUCUCAUACAUGGAUCCCAUCUCAGAUUUCAUGGCUUCAAGCCACUUUGCGGAAUCUGGGCUCACCAUUGCUUUUCAUAGUUCGUAGGUUCAUCAUGAUCUAGUAGCAUGACUUCCAGAACGGGAUUACCGUACCACUCUGGUGCGGAUCUUACUCUGGUUGAUCUACGAGGUUCAGUAGUAUCUUGAUCUGAAGUUUCAUGAUCAUUAUCAUUAGCUUCCUCACUAACUGCUGUAGGUGUCACUGAAACAGUUUUCUGUGAUGUACUACUUUCCAGUAAGGGAGCAGGUACAGUUACCUCGUCAAGUUCUACUUUCCUCCCACUCACUUCUUUCGAGAGAAACUCCUUCUCUAGAAAGGAUCCAUUCUUAGCAACGAAUGUCUUGCCUUCGGAUCUGUGAUAGAAGGUGUACCCAACAGUCUCCUUUGGGUAUCCUAUGAAGACACAUUUCUCCGAUUUGGGUUCGAGCUUAUCAGGUUGAAGCUUUUUCACAUAAGCAUCGCAGCCCCAAACUUUAAGAAAUGACAACUUUGGUUUCUUGCCAAACCAUAGUUCAUAAGAUGUCAUCUCAACGGAUUUUGAUGGUGCCCUAUUUAACGUGAAUGCGGCCGUCUCUAAAGCAUAACCCCAAAACGAUAGCGGUAAAUCUGUAAGAGACAUCAUAGAUCGCACCAUAUCUAGUAAAGUACGAUUACAAUGUUCGGACACACCAUUACGCCGUGGUGUUCCGGGUGGCGAGAGUUGCGAAACUAUUCCACAGUUUUUCAAAUGUACACCAAACUCGUAACUCAAAUAUUCUCCUCCACGAUCAGAUCGUAAAAACUUUAUUUUCUUGUUACGAUGAUUUUCAACUUCACUCUGAAAUUCUUUGAACUUUUCAAAUGUUUCAGACUUAUAUUUCAUUAAGUAGAUAUACCCAUAUCUGCUUAAAUCAUCUGUGAAGGUGAGAAAAUAACGAUAUCCGCCACGAGCCUCAAUAUUCAUCGGACCACAUACAUCGGUAUGUAUGAUUUCCAACAAAUCUGUUGCUCUCUCCAUAGUACCGGAGAACGGUGUUUUAGUCAUCUUGCCCACGAGGCACGGUUCGCAAGUACCAAGUGAUUCAUAAUCAAGUGGUUCCAAAAGUCCAUCAGUAUGGAGUUUCUUCAUGCGCUUUACACCGAUAUGACCUAAACGACAGUGCCACAAAUAAGUUGCACUUUCAUUAUCAACUCUGCAUCUUUUGGCUUCAACAUUAUGAAUAUGUGUAUUACUACUAUCGAGAUUCAAUAAGAAUAGAGCACUCUUCAAGGGCGCAUGACCGUAAAAGAUAUUACUCAUAUAAAUAGAACAACCAUUAUUCUCUGAUUUAAAUGAAUAACCGUCUCGCAUCAAACAAGAUCCAGAUAUAAUGUUCAUGCUCAACGCUGGCACUAAAUAACAAUUAUUUAGGUCUAAUAUUAAUCCCGAAGGUAGAUGUAGAGGUAGCGUGCCGACCGCGAUCACAUCGACUUUGGAACCGUUUCCCACGCGCAUCGUCACCUCGUCCUUUGCCAGUGCCCGCUUAUUCCGUAGUCCCUGUUUCGAGUUGCAAAUAUUAGCAACAGAACCAGUAUCAAAUACCCAGGUGCUACUGCAAGCUCUAGUAAGGUACACAUCAAUAACAUGUAUAUCACAUAUACCUUUGUUCACCUUGCCAUCCUUCUUAUCCGCCAAAUACUUGGGGCAGUUCCGCUUCCAGUGACCAGUCUGCUUGCAGUAGAAGCACUCAGUUUCAGGCUUAGGUCCAGACUUGGGUUUCUUCUCUUGAGUAGCAACUUGCUUGCCGUUCUUCUUGAAGUUCCCCUUCUUCUUCCCUUUGCCCUUUUUCUUGAAACUAGUGGUCUUGUUAACCAUCAACACUUGAUGCUCCUUCUUGAUUUCUACCUCCGCAGCUUUCAGCAUUGCGAAGAGCUCGGGAAUAGUCUUGUUCAUCCCUUGCAUAUUAUAGUUCAUCACGAAGCUCUUGUAGCUUGGUGGCAGUGAUUGGAGAAUUCUGUCAAUGAUGCAAUCAUCCGGAAGAUUAACUCCCAAUUGAAUCAAGUGAUUAUUAUACCCAGACAUUUUGAGUAUAUGCUCACUGACAGAACUGUUCUCCUCCAUCUUGCAGCUAUAGAACUUAUUGGAGACUUCAUAUCUUUCAAUCCGGGCAUUUGCUUGAAAUAUUAACUUCAACUCCUGGAACAUCUCAUAUGCUCCAUGACGUUCAAAACGUCGUUGAAGUCCCGAUUCUAAGCCGUAAAGCAUGGCACACUGAACUAUCGAGUAGUCAUCAGCUUUGCUCUCCCAGACGUUCAUAACAUCUCGUGUUGCUCCAGCAGCAGGCCUGGCACCCAGUGGUGCUUCUAGGACGUAAUUCUUCUGAGCAGCAAUGAGGAUAAUCCUCAAGUUACGGACCCAGUCCGUAUAAUUGCUACCAUCAUCUUUCAACUUUGCUUUCUCAAGGAACGCAUUAAAAUUCAACGGAACAACAACACGAGCCAUCUAUCUACAAUCAACAUAAACAAGCAAGAUACUAUCAGGUACUAAGUUCAUGAUAAGUUUAAGUUCAAUUAAUCAAAUUACUUAAGAACUCCCACUUAGAUAGACAUCCCUCUAAUCUUCUAAGUGAUUACGUGAUCCAAAUCAACUAAACCAUAACCGAUCAUCACGUGAGAUGGAGUAGUUUUCAAUGGUGAACAUCGUUAUGUUGAUCAUAUCUACUAUAUGAUUCACGCUCGACCUUUCGGUCUCCGUGUUCUGAGGCCAUAUUUGCAUAUGCUAGCCUCGUCAAGUUUAACCUGAGUAUUCUGCGUGUGCAAAACUGGCUUGCACCCGUUGUAGAUGGACGUAGAGCUUAUCACACCCGAUCAUCACGUGGUGUCUGGGCACGACGAACUUUGGCAACGGUGCAUACUCAGGGAGAACACUUCUUGAUAAUUUAGUGAGAGAUCAUCUUAUAAUGCUACCGUCAAUCAAAGCAAGAUAAGAUGCAUAAAAAGAUAAACAUCACAUGCAAUCAAUAUAAGUGAUAUGAUAUGGCCAUCAUCAUCUUGUGCUUGUGAUCUCCAUCUCCGAAGCACCGUCAUGAUCACCAUCGUCACCGGCGCGACACCUUGAUCUCCAUCAUAGCAUCGUUGUCGUCUCGCCAAUCUUAUGCUUCCACGACUAUCACUACUGUUUAGUAAUAAAGUAAAGCAUUACAUCGCGAUUGCAUUGCAUACAAUAAAGCGGCAACCAUAUGGCUCCUGCCAGUUGCUGAUAACUCGGUUACAAAACAUGAUCAUCUCAUACAAUAAAAUUCAGCAUCAUGCCUUGACCAUAUCACAACACAACAUGCCCUGCAAAAACAAGUUAGACGUCCUCUACUUUGUUGUUGCAAGUUUUACGUGGCUGCUACGGGCUUAAGCAAGAACCAAUCUCACCUACGCAUCAAAACCACAACGAUAGUUUGUCAAAUAGACUCCGUUUUAACCUUCGCAAGGACCGGGCGUAGCCACACUUGGUUCAACUAAAGUUGGAGAGACAGUCGCCCGCAAGCCACCUAUGUGCAAAGCACGUCGGGGGAACCGGUCUCGCGUAAGCGUACGCGUAAUGUUGGUCCGGGUUGUCUCGUCCAACAAUGCCGCCGAACCAAAGUAUGACAUGCUGGUAGGCAGUAUGACUUAUAUCGCCCACAACUCACUUGUGUUCUACUCGUGCAUAUAACAUCAACAUAAAUAACCCAUGCUCGGAUGCCACUGUUGGGUUUCGUAGUAAUUUCAAAAAAAUUCCUACGCACACGCAAGAUCAUGUGAUGCAUAGCAACGAGAGGGGAGAGUGUUGUCUACGUACCCAACGCAGACCGACUGCGGAAGCGCUGACACGACGUAGAGAAAGUAGUCGUACGUCUUCACGAUCCAACCGAUCAAGCACCGAAACUACGACACCUCCGAGUUCGAGCACACGUUCAGCUCGAUGACGAUCCCCGGACUCCGAUCCGGCAAAGUGUCGGGGAAGAGUUCCGUCAGCACAACGGCGUGGUGACGAUCUUGAUGUACUACAGCAGCAGGGCUUCGCCUAAACUCUGCUGCCGUAUUAUCGAGGACUAUGGUGGCUGGGGGCGCCGCACACGGCUAAGGAAUAGAUCACGUGGAUCAACUUGUGUGUUCUUUGGGGUGCCCUGCCUCUGUAUAUAAAGGACUAGAGGGGGGAGGCUGGCCGGCCAAGGGAGGGCGCGCCAGGAGAGUCCUACUCCCUCUGGGAGUAGGAUUCCCCCCCCCCCCCAAUCCUAGUUGGAAUAGGAUUCCUUGAGGGGGGAAAGAGAGAGAGGGGGCCAGCCACCUCUCCUAGUCCUAAUAGGACUAGGGGAAGGGGGGAGGCGCACAGCCACCUUGGGCUGCCCCUUUCUCCUUUCCACUAAAGCCCACUAAUGCCCAUAUAGCUCCCGGGGGGUUCCGGUAACCUCCCGGUACUCCGGUAAAAUCCCGAUUUCACCCGGAACACUUCCGAUAUCCAAACAUAGGCUUCCAAUAUAUCAAUCUUUACGUCUCGACCAUUUCGAGACUCCUCGUCAUGUCCGUGAUCACAUCCGGGACUCCGAAGAACCUUCGGUACAUCAAAAUGCAUAAACUCAUAAUAUAACUGUCAUCGUAACCUUAAGCGUGCGGACCUUACGGGUUCGAGAACAAUGUAGACAUGACCGAGACACGUCUCCGGUCAAUAACCAAUAGCGGGACCUGGAUGCCCAUAUUGUCUCCUACAUAUUCUACGAAGAUCUUUAUCCGUCAGACCGCAUAACAACAUACGUUGUUCCCUUUGUCAUCGGUAUGUUACUUGCCCGAGAUUCGAUCGUCGGUAUCCAAUACCUAGUUCAAUCUCGUUACCGGCAAGUCUCUUUACUCGUUCCGUAAUACAUCAUCUCACAACUAACAUAUUAGUUGUAAUGCUUGCAAGGCUUAUGUGAUGUGCUUUACCGAGAGGGCCCAGAGAUACCUCUCCGACAAUCGGAGUGACAAAUCGUAAUCUCAAAAUACGCCAACCCAACAUGUACCUUUGGAGACACCUGUAGUACUCCUUUAUAAUUACCCAGUUACGUUGUGACGUUUGGUAGUACCCAAAGUGUUCCUCCGGUAAACGGGAGUUGCAUAAUCUCAUAGUUAUAGGAACAUGUAUAAGUCGUGAAGAAAGCAAUAGCAACAUACUAAACGAUCGGGUGCUAAGCUAAUGGAAUGGGUCAUGUCAAUCAGAUCAUUCAACUAAUGAUGUGACCUCGUUAAUCAAAUAACAACACUUUGUUCAUGGUCGGGAAACAUAACCAUCUUUGAUUAACGAGCUAGUCAAGUAGAGGCAUACUAGUGACACUAAGUUUGUCUAUGUAUUCACACAUGUAUUAUGUUUCCGGUUAAUACAAUUCUAGCAUGAAUAAUAAACAUUUACCAUGAUAUAAGGAAAUAAAUAAUAACUUUAUUAUUGCCUCUAGGGCAUAUUUCCUUCAGGUUGCUGCCUAUUGAUUUGAAAAAUCGUUGACCCGAUCAAAAUUGUGAAGAAAACUUAAAAUUGAAUACAUUGAUCCAAUAGGAAAGCUCCGAAAUUAGGGAGCAUAUGAAUUAAAAGAAUUAAAUGAGAGAGCUCCUUACAAAAUUUUUAACCAGUCAAAAUCGGGUGACCCAAUUUUAAAUUGGAGACCUUAUUUGAUUAUGAGGCCUUAAAAAUUAGGUAGCAUGGUGUAUUUAUUAAAAGGGUUGGGCGCGCUUUAUUGUGCCGUUUGUAUUGUUGGGAUUUCAUAACGAUAGAAAUUGGUUUAAAGCAUGGGGUAGAUACUGAAGUGUGUUAUCUUUUUUAUAGUGUUUUUUUAGCAGUGUGAUUCUGUCAUCUGCUAAUCAACCCAUACAUGGGAAAGUUUGUAGGUGCAUGUAAUAUAUUAGUACUACCAUGCAUGUUUUGGCGCUUGUUAGGUGGUGAGAGGGUGUAUGGACUGAUGUGUUUUGAGGUUGUAUAUUAAUUUGAGAAGUUGUUUCAAAAUUGUGAAUCAAAUCAAAAAUUGAAUACCUCCACUAAAUGAGAGUUAGAAUGUAUUUUGAUCGGGUCAACGAUUCAUUGACACUAGAGUUAGAAUCCGCAUAUGUCGUUGUCGUCCCACACAUGGUGCCCCUUGAGCUUCAUACAAAAUGUAUAUGCAUGAAUGACAUGCCAUCGGUCCUGUAAUACAUCACAACAGUGCAUGCAAACUAUACAACAUUAGAGCAAUAUUGAGUGAAUGAAUGAAUUAACAAAUAUGUAGAAUAAGAAGAAUCAGUACUUGCGUUCUCGAUGGUUGACGAGCUCAAUGGCCACAUUGUCUCCACUCGGUGAAUCGCACCACAAAACUUCAUGACAGAGUUGCAUAUGAUGUACCAUUGAUGCGAUAUUCACAUUGUGUUCAUGGAUGACGUGCAUGCCCUAGGGCACAAAACUCUUUUGCUCAUGAAAUGAAGCAUGUACGCGCCGCCAAAAGGUCGAGCUCCUUUGGCUCAUGCUUACAAAGUCUGCAGAUACAACAGACCACACAUCGCACAUCAACUCAUCUUCCAUGACUGAGUACCCCAUCAUCAAAUUACUCUAGAAAACAACAAAGAAAUUAAUGGCAUUUGAUCAAACACCUGUCGGGUGUGAUGUCUGCCGUCGACAAGAAAGCGGAGGGUACAUGGCUGCGGAAGGAUCCUGUGUGGACGAUAGUGUACUCCAAGGCGGGCGUGCGUGUGGGUGGGUGAUACGUCUCCAACGUAUCUAUAAUUUUUGAUUGUUCCAUGCUAUAUUAUAUUCUGUUUUGGACAUUAUUGGGCUUUAUUAUACACUUUUAUAUUAUUUUUGGGACUAACCUAUUAACCGGAGGCCCAGCCCAGAAUUGUUGUUUUUGCCUAUUUUAGGAUUUCGCAUAAAAAGAAUAGCAAACGGAGUCCAUGCGGAAUGAAACCUUCGGGAACGUGAUUUUCGGAACGAACAUGAUCCAGAUGAUUUGGACCCUACAUCAAGAAAUCAACGAGGAAGGCACAAGGUAGGGAGCGCGCCUACCCCCCCCUCCCCAGGCGUGCCCUCCAUCCUCGUGGGCCCCCUGUUGCUUCACCAACAUACUCCUUCCUCCUAUAUAUACCUACGUAACCCCAAACUACCAGAUACGGAGCCAAAACCCUAAUUCCACCGCCGUAACUUUUCUGUAUCCAUGAGAUCCCAUCUUGGGGCCUUUUCCGGAGCUCCGCCGGAGGGGGCAUCAAUCAUGGAGGGCUUCUACAUCAACACCAUAGCCCCUCCGAUGAAGUGUGUGUAGUUUACUUCAGAUCUACGGGUCCAUAGUUAUUAGCUAGAUGGCUUCUUCUCUCUUUUUGGAUCUUAAUACAAAGUUCUCCCUCUCUCUUGUGAAGAUCUAUUCGAUGUAAUCUUCUUUUGCGGUGUGUUUGUUGAGACCGAUGAAGUGUGGGUUUAUGAUCAAGUUUAUCUAUGAACAAUAUUUCAAUCUUCUUUGAAUUCUUUUAUGUAUGAUUGGUUAUCUUUGCAAGUCUCUUUGAAUUAUCAGUUUCGUUUGGCCUACUAAAUUGAUCUUUCUUGCAAUGGGAGAAGUGCUUAGCUUUGGGUUCAAUCUUGCGGUGUCCUUUCCCAGUGACAGUAGGGGCAGCAAGGCACGUAUUGUAUUGUUGCCAUCGAGGAUAAUAAGAUGGGGUUUAUAUCAUAUUGCAUGAGUUUAUCCCUCUACAUCAUGUCAUCUUGCUUAAAGCGUUACUCUGUUCUAUUGAACUUAAUACUCUAGAUGCAUGCUGGAUAGCGGUCGAUGUGUGGAGUAAUAGUAGUAGAUGCAGGCAGGAGUCGGUCUACUUGUCUCGGACGUGAUGCCUAUAUACAUAAUCAUACCUAGAUAUUCUCAUAAGUAUGCUCAAUUCUGUCAAUUGCUCAAUAGUAAUUUAUUCAUCCACCGUAAAUACUUAUACUUUUGAGAGAAUCCACUAGUGAAACCUAUGGCCCCCGGGUCUAUCUUCCAUCAUAUUAAUCUUCCAAUACUUAGUUAUUUCCUUUGCCAUUUAUUUUACUUUGCAUCUUUUAUUUCUUUUUAUCAUAAAAAAUACCAAAAAUAUUAUCCUAUCAUAUCUAUCAGAUCUCACUCUUGUAAGUGACCGUGUAGGGAUUGACAACCCCUUACCGCGUUGGUUGCGAGGAUUUAUUUGUUUGUGUAGGUGCGAGGGAUUCGUGCGCAACCUCCUACUGGAUUGAUACCUUGAUUCUCAAAAAACUGAGGGAAAUACUUACGCUACUUUGCUGCAUCACCCUUUUCUCUUUAAGGGAAAACCAACGCAGUGCUCAAGAGGUAGUAGUGGGUUGCGUACAUCUGAGGAUGCCUGGACGGUGGCCGGAGAGGUACAACAUCGGCAACGGACAAGGAGAGUGCGGAUGCAAAACAAGAAGGGGGUGCAAGAAAAAUGGACCGGGAGGGGAAUUUGGGCGGGUCGGAGACGUCGGAGUCCUAUGUGACGGCGGUUCAGACUCCCAUAAAGAAUAACAUAUACAAUACUUAUAUUCAAACUAUGUUUAUGGAAUAGAUGUCUGGUUUGGUCGUUUAUAUUUUCGAGCAUCAAAUUCAUUGAUACAAAAAUCACUCUUUGGAUGUGAUGAGACUCCGGUGAGGCCAUAUUCUUUCCUUGAAAAAACCAGUAAAAAACUAAGUAAAAAUUGUUUCAAGACACUUUUAGCUAUGAAACAUUUUAAUCCAUGAGCUUGUGAGGAAUGCAAGUUCGUCGUCGACAUCUGUUUGGCCUUUGUCCGAAUCACAUGUUUUCUUUGCAAAACCUCUGAAGGCACAAGAAUUUACAUGGCCGUUUGGGUGUUCCUCUUGGGUCGGUGGCGCAAACAUGGGGUGUCAGCAAGCAGGAGAUUAUCCUAAAAAAGAAAAAUAUAUUGCCCUAAAAUAGAUUAUCCUGUAGCAAGCUAAUUAAGGCCAAUCAAUUUUUUUUAUUAGGAGGUCAAACGCGCAAACAUAGCGAGCCACGCGAGGAGAAUAUCAUCCCAGCAAAGCGAAUCAACCUGUGGUUGAGUUGGUUAGGUGGACAGUGAUAUCCGCAACCCACCAGGGUUCAAAUCCCGGUGCUCGCAUUAUUCCUGGAUUUAUUUCAGGAUUUCCGGCGAUGCGCUUUCAGUGGGAGGAGACGUUUCCGUCAACGACAAGGCGCCUACGGUGACUUCGUAAAUCUCAAGAUGGUAUGCCGGCUUAGUCUUUUAGAGGUGCUCAUAGGGGUAGGGUGUGCGUGUGUGCGUUCAUAUGGAUGAGUGUAUGCGCGUGUAUAUGAGCGCUUGUGUCUGUACUGAUGCUCAAAAAAAAUCAUUCCAGCAAAGCUAAUCUUUUUAGUACUUCCAGCAAGCUAACCUUCGUCAAGAAAAAGAAAAAGGAAAUCAAGUCAAAUCAAUGACCGUUCAUCCAUCCAUCCAUCCGCCGCCUAGCCGGACGGGUCGCUUCUUCCGGCCGUCCAAGCAACGAACUGGUUGUAGGUUGGCAGGUAUGAGGUAUCAUGUGGCAUACACUGAUUGAUGGGCUGCGCCACGUCGAGUCGCUGUGGAUGUAGGUAGACGGGAGGCUGGUCAGACAAAGUGAAUGCACGGAGAAUUCUAGAGCGAAGGCAGAGAGGUUUUCUGGGUGAGUUCGACGUGUUGGAGUUCGACGUAACAGACAUCCGGACUUGUUUGAAGACACUUUUAGUUACGAAACAAUUUAAUCCAUGAGCUUGUGAGCAAUGCAAGUUUGUUAUGUUUUCCCUUUUUGUGGGAUACAUUUAUUUCAUCACUCAUAAAAAAAGAGAAUAAGUUUGUUGUGGUUCAAAUUCGUCGAAGUCACUUUUGCCUUGUCCGAAUCACACGUUUUCUCCGCAAAACCUCUGAAGCCACAGGAAUUUACGCAAAUGAGGUCUUUCUCUUGGGUCGGUCCAACGCCGGGACGCGCAAACAUCACGCCGUACUCAAAGGAGGAUAUUAUUCUAGCACCGACUACUAAAAUAGGAUCAUCAUCCUGCCCUAAAAAAAUUUAUCCUGGCAGGCUAAUUAGGGCGAAGCAAGGUUUAUAUUAAGGGGUUCUAAAAGAAGGUUUGUAUUAAGGGAGGUCAAACACGCGGACACGGCGACCAGCGCAAGGGGAAUACGAAUACGACCCCGGCAAAGAAAGGCAAUUACCUCCCCCUUUCAUAAUUUGCUCCCCCCCUCCCUCCCCCGAGAAUGACAGGUGAGGCCCGGGACCGCCCGUCAUUGAGACAAUGGGUGGCAAAUUGUGAAAAGGAGAAGUAAGGGGUGGUAAAUUAUCAAAUCGCCCACAAAGAAAUCAAGGCGAAUCGACGACCGUGCGCGCAUCCAUCCGUCCGUCGCUCGGUCGCCCUCCAGCCGUCCAAUUCCAAGCAACGACCCAACUGGCUGUAGGUUGGCAGGCAGUAGCAGUAUCUCCGUGGCGUACGUUCCUCGAUGGACCGCACCCAGCCGCGCAGACAGACCCGCGACACGUCGGCGUACACCGGACGCUGACCGGAUACGACCAGCGGGCUCGACGAACCCGGCGCGAUCGCUCCAAGUGGAUGCAUCCCGAUUUCCCGAUCCAUCCAGGUCCAGCCAACGCUACCAGUGUGGCCUCGUCACCACGUGGUCGUCGCGGGCGCCUCCACCGGGCCAGAUCCGCCACCGUGUGUGAGCAAGUCACCACGGAGCUACCCCUCAAAAAAAAAAAAGUCACCACGGAGCUGGGGGUUAGCGGGCCGAGGAAUAAAUAGAGGACCGGGCAUCCCGGCCGGCGGCGACAACCGCACCGCACCGCGCCCACAGACGCACGCCACGCCACUCAGCGCCUCGGCAACACCGCGUCCCUGCUCGCGCCUCGGCCGCCCGGCUGGUGGGGAUCGACCCGUCCGCCGCCGCCGGAGAUCGCUGCUGGCGAGGGCCUGAAGAGGGGGCGGGGAUUUGAUUUGCGAUUUCGGUUCGUGCGGCUGCGGCGAUGGGGGUGCUGUCGCGGCCGGAGGAGGUGCCGGCGCUGCUCAGGCUCAAGCUGGCGGCGGGGCGGAUCAGGCGCCAGAUCCCGCCCCAGGAGCACUGGGCCUUCGCCUACGACAUGCUCCAGCGGGUCUCCCGCAGCUUCGCGCUCGUCAUCCAGCAGCUCGGCCCAGAGCUCCGCAAUGCCGUAAUUCCCCCUUCCCCUUCCCCUCCGGAUCCCAUCCGGUCGGACCGCUUCAUACAGUAGAUUUGAUUCGGGCGACUCUCUGAAACGCGCACGGCCGCUGACGCUGCUCUGGUUCCCACUCUGCAGGUGUGCGUCUUCUACCUCGUGCUCCGGGCCCUGGACACCGUCGGUCAGCACCCUCACUCCUGCUGCUCGCUAUGUUUGUUUGAAUUCGUUUUGCCGCGUUUGAUGGAAUCUUUUGGGCCAAGUUCAUCGCUGCCUUCCUUUUUACUAGUACGGUAGUACCAACCACCGUUUGCUCACUGCGAUUACUAUAACUGCAGAGGACGACACCGCCAUCCCUAACGAGGUCAAGCUGCCCAUCCUUCGGGACUUCUACCGCCACAUCUACAACCCGGACUGGCUUUUUUCAUGUAUGAUCGGAUCUCUCUCUCUCUCUCUCUCUCUCUCUCUCUCUCUCUCUCUCUCUCUCUCUCUAAGAGCAAGCUGUCCUUGUGCUCAAUUAUGCUAUUCUUCUUGUUGAUCUUAUCAUGUAUGUACUUUGGCCUUCAGGUGGAGCAAACGACUACAGAGUGCUCAUGGAUAAUUUUAGACAAGUCUCCACCGCUUUCCUGGAGCUAGGCGAAGGGUAAUAAUUCCUGUUCCUCAGCUUCAGAGCGAUCCAAAUCAUUUUCUGUACUACUUUCCUAGUAGUAGUUCCCAGUAUGCGGUUGGGAACUUGUGCUUUCGUACGAAUUGUUGUUUUGUCAAAGUCCUUGGGGGACACAUCAAUCAUUUAGUCAGCACUGAUAGUAUCACUUUUAUAAAAGUAUAAUAUAAACGCAAGACUUCUUUAAAUAUGGGGCUUUUAUUGGCUAUUAUUAGUGCCCACCAAUGAAAUUGUUAUGUCAUAGCCAGGUUUGUACGGGUGAAGUAGAGAAAAGACGAAGUAAAAUGCUCAUAGUUACACUUACAGGAGAACCAGACAAAGAACUGAACAGUCGGAUGUACUUGUAUGCUCUGAAGGUUUUCUUUAUUGUUCUCAGAAUCAUAAGCACUAGAGCUUAUGCCAACUUUUGCUUGCUUUGUGUUGAGUAUUUCUUCCAGGUGGUAUAAAUGACACACCCUCUCAUGUUUUAUUAUCUGCAUGCCAUUUGUGCAGUGGCACUUUAAUUUGUGAAGCCAUAUUUAGAGAAGACAUUUUACUACACUAGACACGUUUUGCCAUCUAGCAGAUGUUUAUAUGCAAGAAAGCAAAUGUUACAUAUCUACUGUCCGUUUUCAGAACCAGGCUAUUAAAGUCAUCGUACUAGUACUUCACAUUAUUGCAAAUGAAGCUUUCUUUUCCGCGUUUGUUUUUUCAUCAGACACAGUUCGUUCAUUAAGUGCAGGUAAGUUCUUUUGAAACUUGCAGAAUAUAAUUAUCUCUGUUUUGUUUUCAGAUACCAAAAGGCUAUUGAAGAAAUCACUAGGCGAAUGGGAGCAGGAAUGGCUAAAUUUAUAUGCACGGAGGUCUGUUAAUCUAGAUCACCCAAUAUAUUCAAGCUUUUUUUUUCUUGCAGUCAAAUUUAUCAAUGCUUUCCUUUACGUAAUGUUUGGUCACUCUAUCAAAUUUCUGUUGUUGGUUUGUCAUAGCAAUCUGUUAAAUGUUUGGUUACUCUACUCUACGUAAGGAAGAUGGUUGGGGGCAUUGUGGCAUAGAUAAAUGCCCUGUUCAAGAAUUCACCCGAUUAACCAGUUAACUUGCCGAUUAAUCCCUACUCAUAGGGUCACCGAGUAGCCAAUAAACUGAUAAAUCGUCCGAUUAAUUGAUUAAAUGGACGAUUAACUUGCCGAUUAGCCUAUUAAUCCCCUACUAACCAGCCAACCGAGCAGUUACCAGUUAACGAUUUCCUCAACAAUAAAUGUAGCUGUCACAUUAAUAAUGAAAAACACUUUGCCAUGACUUUCUGAUGUACCACAAGAACUUUGAUACAGCUAAACUUUCCCUUGGUGACUUGUGGUCAACAGAAAAUAUGCCACACGAUUAUCUCGAUCUGGACGACUAAAAAGCUACUCCUUCCGUAAAACGUGACUUGAUACAUCCGUAUUUAGACAAAUCUAAGACAUGAAUUUUGGGACGAGGGAGUAUUUGAUAUCAUAUUUUCUUUGGGUGUUGAGAUCCGUGAAUAGAAGUGAUACAUGUUUAACUUGCUUCUGGUUAUUAAUUUAUUUAUUAAGUUUGAUAUUGUUAUUUGUUUGAAUUAAUUUGGAACAACUUUAUUUUGUAGGUUGAAACCAUUGAUGACUAUGAUGAGUACUGCCACUAUGUAGCAGGGCUAGUAGGCUAUGGACUUUCUAGGCUCUUUCAUGCUACUGGCACAGAAGAUUUGGCUCCGGAUCAUCUUUCAAAUUCAAUGGGUUUAUUUCUACAGGUAGGUUUAGUUCAAUCAAAUUUCUGUACUUGAACUAUCAUGACAAAAUAAGAACUUGUUUUUUACAUUUAACUCUGUAACUAAUGUUGGACUUCCACCUGCAGAAAACCAAUAUAAUAAGGGAUUAUUUGGAGGACAUAAAUGAGAUACCAAGGUGCCGUAUGUUCUGGCCUCGGGAAAUAUGGAGUAAAUAUGUUGAUAAACUUGAGGUACAUCAACCCAUCAAAUAAGGGAAUUGCAUAUGAAUCAUAUUGUAAAAUAUUUGGUUGAACAGUUAAUAAUGAAAUCUAAAUGUCCAAUCCAAUCCUUUUACCUUUGUUAAAAAGUCUACACUCAUCCCUUCAUCACAUUUUUUUGUUGAAGUAGCACCCGCAUUUUUGUGCUCCACAAUAAUGCUUUUUUGUUUUGGGAUAUAAAUCAGGAUUUAAAAUAUGAGGAAAAUUCAGAAAAGGCCGUGCAGUGCUUGAAUGAUAUGGUGACCAAUGCUUUGAUCCAUGCCCAAGAUUGCCUUCAAUACAUGUCAGCAUUGAAGGACAAUUCCAAUUUUCGAUUUUGUGCAAUACCUCAGGUACACUAGUGCUAGUUUCUCCUGUUACAAUCUUCAGUUAAAAUGUCCUGUUAGAGUUUCACUGUCUAUCAGGACUAAAUAAUGUCUUUGCAAAACACUGCCUAACAAUCUAGUGGUACAUAACUGAAACUUGCUCAUAGCUCAGAAUAGAUUUAUGGUACUAGCCAUGAUUUAUGAUAAUUGAGUCUUUAUUAUUUUGGUUCCUGGAUGUAAUUGGUGUUGGUAGGUGCCAAGGAUUAAAGAUAGGCAUACCAUGUUUCAUGUUUGUAAUUGACGUAUUACAUUCUGUGGCAAUCAGUAAUGAUAUGUUUUAUCCAUGGGCACAAGGUUGUAACUUAAGGAUUGAUCUAUACCAGCACACAAUUUUCUUUCAGACCUGUUCUGCUUCCCUUUUUGUAUACAUACUCAACAUUUGUACCGUUGCUAGUGGAAGUAGUUGCUACUCAAGCUAGUUUUCAGCAAUAAUAACAUAAGCCUUAUGAAACGAAACACUAGCUAUUUUGCAAUGUUAAUAUCUUCCAUUGUGUGUCAUGGCUGAUUGGCCUUCUAAGUAUUGAAUUGGAGAUAUGUGAUAUUUUGCUCUUGUUUUUACCAUCUUCAUCAAAGUUCAAUAGCAUUCCUAGACCCUAGUUAUACAGUGGUGGGUGCUAUGAUUUGACUUGCCUUUUUUUGUUGAAGUAUGGAUCUUCCAUCUAAUCUUGAAACAACUUUAUUUACCACAUAUUUUUCAACUGUUUGUCUUUUCAGAUAAUGGCAAUUGGGACCUGUGCUAUUUGCUACAAUAAUGUGAAAGUCUUUAGAGGAGUUGUUAAGAUGAGGCGUGGUAAGACAUAUUUAGUUCAAGUUGACAAGCUGUACUAGCCUGCAAUUAACCAGAAAAUACCCGUUUGAUCACCUCUUUACACUAUGUUUAGGAAUUUAAUGUGGAUAAAUUAUGCAGUACUCUACUUCUUUAUAUCACAUUUGUACAUAUGGUUGUUGUAUGAUUAGGAAUCAACACGACAAAUCACAUCAUGGAGUGCUUCAAUGUUCCUUGGCAUCAGAAAAUACAAUUGCUACCUUUUAGUUUAAUUUGUAGUCUAAUUUUAUAUUAUUUCCCAAAGUAUCAUAGGAUCCACCUUAGGCAUUAUGAUUUAGUAGUUAAAUUAUGACCAUUCUUAUUAUGUGUGUGUGUGUGNNNNNNNNNNNNNNNNNNNNNNNNNNNNNNNNNNNNNNNNNNNNNNNNNNNNNNNNNNNNNNNNNNNNNNNNNNNNNNNNNNNNNNNNNNNNNNNNNNNNNNNNNNNNNNNNNNNNNNNNNNNNNNNNNNNNNNNNNNNNNNNNNNNNNNNNNNNNNNNNNNNNNNNNNNNNNNNNNNNNNNNNNNNNNNNNNNNNNNNNNNNNNNNNNNNNNNNNNNNNNNNNNNNNNNNNNNNNNNNNNNNNNNNNNNNNNNNNNNNNNNNNNNNNNNNNNNNNNNNNNNNNUGCGUUCUUCUUGGAUAGAUGAGUUGACAUUUGAGUAGAAGAACCUCAGUUUCCGUAAUCAGAUAAGAAGAAGCAAACUAUAGUUUGCUUUUCUGCUUUUCUUGUUGUGCUCUUUCUGCCAAGACUGUUAUUAUUCUUUUAACCAACGGCUACCUAUGUUUAGUGUAUUGAAUAAUUUGCAUAUUUCAGUCAUGUGUAACUUUCUAUUUCUUCUGACCUGAGCGCAACCUAACAUGUACUCCCUGUCUCUCAGGGCUCACUGCACGGGUAAUUGAUGAGACCAAAUCGAUAUCAGAUGUCUAUUCUGCUUUCUAUGAAUUCUCUUCAUUGCUAGAGUCGAAGGUAUGUUCUGGAGUAUGGAUGCAAAGGAAAACGGAGUCUAGUCUAGCAUACAUAUAAUUGAACAUUCAGAUAUUUUGUCCUGUUACACAAAAAAAUGAUAUAGUUGUUGGAUAAUGUUUUCAUUGUUUUGACCAAGGCAGUCCUGUAGAUUUAGGGAUCGCAGCUUAGAAUGGCUUGCUUUUGAGCUCAGAAAUCCAUAAGUGGGUAGCUUUGCUUCAAGAUGAUGGCGUGCUAAGCUCUUGACUUCAUAUCUGUUUGUAUAAACUUGAUAUUUUCCUUUUUGACCAUCUGAUAGUUUUGCUCCAAACGGCAAAGUUUAGGGAAAACUCCUUACUGUCCUUCACCCAUGUUGCUGUUAGUGACGGCCUUUGAUGGUUACCUCAGUUGUUCUCUAGCUGUGAUUUUAUCCAUAAUAUGUUUGGUCGCCAUGCCCAGAUUGAUGAUAACGACCCAAAUGCUGCGCUGACACGGAGGCGUGUGGAUGCAAUAAAGAAAACUUGCAAGUCAUCCGGCCUGCUGAAGAGAAGGUUUGCUGCAUGAUUUAGAGUUGUACCUUACUGCUGAUAUCUUCAUCCUCACUGAUUGUCUGGUUCUACAGGGGUUAUGAUCUGGAGAAAUCAAUGUACAGAAUGCCUAUGCUGGUGAGUAAUGAUAUACAUAGAUAUAUAUAAGCUGAGAAAUCCUGCAAGUUCUCUGUUGUAUAAUUUUCUCAAGCCGCUUUAUGUGACAUCAUCAGGUCAUGAUUGUGCUUCUCUUGGUGGCUAUUAUCUUGGGUGUACUGUAUGGCAAGUGAUCCGGUCAAGAUCUCCCUCUUAUGUUCUUAGUGGCACCGCCUUCCCUGUAUGGUACGUUGAUCUAUUUCCUGUAACAGCUCGACGAUAUUUCUUCUGCAUUACAGUGCUGAUUGAGGUCUGCUUUUCUGUAGGUUUUGCACGUGUACCUCCUGACUGCAGAUGGAUAUGUUUGGUUUGCAUGUAGUAUUGUGCUAUGUACCCUGCUGGUGCCAUGCAUGCUAAUUCUUUUUGUUCUUUGUUUCUGUCGUCCCGUAUGUUGUUUCAGCUUGUAAUUUGUUUGAAUCUCUAGGAGAGACUUACUUAGUGACAUGUAUCCUAUGAAUUUGGCGUGGCGCCUUGGUUGACAGUGAUGCUGCAUUUUGUUGAUUUGUGACUGAUGUAUGUGAUGCAUAUCAUUUUGCCGUGCCACCUGUGCAAUUUGAUUAUAGUUGCCCAACAGGCUUGUGGUUGGGCUCUUAUUUUUUUUUCAAUAUACAAUGCAGCGGGGAAUCCAGGAAAACGACCUUACGCCAAACUCCUUACUGUUUUUCUUAAUUUGCAUACAAGUUUGGUCUCAAGUCAAACUUCAUAUCUUUGUGCUCCGCAUGUAAGCCUUGUCUUAAGUCAAGCUUUGUAAAAUUUGAGCAAGAUUAUAUGAAACAAUAUCAAAUCAAUAUCGUUAGAUGCAUCAAAGAAUUAAUUUUUAUAUUGUACCAUAUCUUUAGUAUUGUAGUAGAUGUUGAUAUGUUCAAUGUAAACUUGGUUGUACUUUAUGAAUUUCGACUUGAGGGAGGACAUACAACCAACAGCAACCAAAACGUAGGUAGAAAACACUCUGAACUUGUAACAGAGGUGAUAGUAGCUAGCUGGUAUAGAUCAAUCUCUCUCUAGGUAGCAGUUUGCACUGGCGAUUACCAAGGGAAUUACAGAAUGAAUCGAAGAAGAAGAAGAAGAGGCAACUUAGCAGGGGAAGGAGGAAGGAACGAGAAAGUGGUAGUCGCCGCCGGUGCCUGUGAUCCGCUGGAUACUCUGCUCCCUCAUACUUGUAGCUGCAGCGUGGGGUCGCGGACGGGCCAAAUCCAUGGGCUGACCCAAGGGGUACAUGUUAGAGCAUCUCUAGCAGAUCCUUUAAAACGCACGAAACUGUAAAAUAACCGCCGCUUUAUAGUUUUAGACGAAAAAACAACGCGGAUAGAACCCGUAAACUACUCCAACUUGUAGAAUUUUUGAAGGGGCAUGGAAAACACCCUCACUGAACAUGUGAAAAUAAGGAUUUCGGAGCCAACUGCCAUCGAAACCUUCAUGGCUCGCUCCGCCGCCCUGCGCGUCCCCGCCUCUGCUCACCGGAUCAAAGCCUUAUCGUCAUAUCCCUCGACCUCCACCGCUUGAGCUCGCCGUGACGUUCUUAAGCAAAAGAAAGACGCAGACUGAAACAAAGCCUGUGACAAACUAAUGCAGCCAAUAUGGUUGAUCACAUGAAGAACAUGCUGUGGAAGAACAUGCCAAACUAACACCUUGAUACGAACUGGGCAUGACAAUCCGUUGCAAGUGGUCAUCAGCUCAAUGCCAUCUUUGCCUAGGGCGAUGGUCGCUUUGCCUUUUUCCUAACUAAAGCGAUCCUCUUUGCACUCCUACAUGCAUUAGAAUUCUCAUAUUUUUCAUAUACUACUAGACUGCUAAUCUCACCAUAAGAAUACGCAAAUUAGGAGCUUCAACGGAUAUUGUGCAAACUAGUGAUCCAGCAGUACCAGCAUACAAGUAACCAGAAGAUUUGGACAGUGCAAACAGUUUGUUAAAGAAUGCCUAAAGCACAAUUGGACAGGUUACGUAGACUGUAGUUACAGAUGUUGCGUGUUGUAGAAUUGCACGAGAAUUGAGACUACACACAUCCAGCUUCUUGGUAUUUCGUAUCUUCACAAAAAAAUAGUGACUGCAUGCUGAUAUUCUAAAUAUGAAUAGCGAGUACCCAUACAUGCAAACAGGCUAUAAUCACAACCACAAAAUCCAAUGACACCAAUUUUCUUUGUAUUCAUGCAAACAGGCUAUAAGCAAACGUGUGUCACAAUAUUUUUAUGUGGGGGAAGUAAAAUUUUCGAAUGGGAAAGAGGCCAUCCAGGAUUUCACAAGGUUAUAUUUGGAUAUGAUUCCAGAAGGCAAGCAAACUCAGCAUUCCAUGACGCAGGCAAGCGAUAAAACAGUAGAGAGCAGAAAGGAUCCAAUCACUAUUGCUAGUAAAGAAGCAGAAGCGCAACAAUGACCACCGACCAACCCACCCAACAAUAAACAUCAUCCAAAAACUACAGCAGCAGCAACAGGAAAUUAGCCCACCCGGACUUUGAUGCCAGUCAGAAAAUAACCAGUACACGGGAAACACAAGUGCGGUGACAACCAGGCACAAAAUAAGGUAAAUGGGGGCAAGGGCACCAUACCCACACCACGGUGACUACAAACCCCAAUAUCUGUUUUCAGCUAAGUCAAUAGAAUACCAUCCAUCCAUCGGUUUCAUUUCAAUUCUCAACAUUACCAAUCCAUCAGUCCCACGAGCUAGACGCACCUCCACCAUAACCUCCACCACCACCGUACCCGCCACCACCACCACCGCCGUAACCGCCACCUCCUCCACCGCCACCGCCCCUCGUGUCGCGA